AAAAACAGGACAUUGCAGCAUUGCAAAAAGAAAGCAAACCAUGUCCAAGGCAACCAGCUCUUUGCUCCUCAGCCCAUCCAUCCUGUCAGCGGUUUACAGGAAAAAAGAGGCAUAAAUUUACAAACAACAAUUCAGUUCAACAAUGGGUUCGGGAGCAACCCUCUGCAGCAUCCACAUUUACAGGUUUACAAGUUUCACCAGAACAUUGUCUGUCUGCCUGGUAUCAUCACAUUUGCAAGUGAAUGUGAGCUAUGUUUCUUGAGGUUUGCGCACUAAAUGUUCAUAAUACCCGACCUUUAUUUGAUUUGAACUAAAUACUGGAUAGGGAUACAGAGUCCCCAGGGAGAAGAGUCUUCAGCUACUGUUGGUGACGUCUUGAAUCAACGUCUUCCAGCCUCUGCCCGACGAUGUAUCGGUCCUCCCAGAUAGAAUCAUGGAGUUUGAUGUAGGAUUCUUUGGCGAGAUAGCAGAGCACGCAUAAGGCAAAGCUGUACAGCCACGCGGCACGGUGGACUGUUGAGUUCACGGCGGAGUAGCCCAGCAUUGCGAAAACCACCUUUGAGAGCACAUAAGGGAUUGCUAGUGCAAUGAGCAGCUCCAUGGCGAAAGACACUAAUUCUUGCUUGUACGUUGUUUCUGCAAGGUCUCCCAACGGAAGAUGUCUGCUCCAACGUCUAUCGAUGAGACAGGCGUAGAAAGGAAGGUUACCCCCGAGCUCGAAGUAACGACCCUUCAACAAUAAAAACAUAUGACCGUCAGAGUAUUCCCUAUUUUUAUCUGACUAUAAUCAAAUUAGAGUAAAAUUUCGGAAUUAGCUGCAUUAUGCCCUAUAAGUGUGCCAGCUGCAAGACCAGUCCUCAAUAGAAACUCAUCACGGGGCAGCCGGUGAAAGUUAUGCGUGGUGGCACAGGACACAAGAAAAAUAAUUAUGAGCUGAACAAUGGGAAAGACUAUGUGCCAAAGAUCCCAUGGCAUAGAACACGAGAAAAAAAUUAUGAGUCCAAAAAUGGGAAAGACAAGGUGCUAAAGAUGCCAUGGCUACAACUGAAACUCUGGAAAUGGGAUAGAAUAAACGAAAACAAGCAAACAACUAUUUUGGUAGUUCACUUUGGAAAAAGUGAUUUUUUUUUUUAUCUUGCAACGAGUACACCGUGAGUGCCAUAUAGAAAUUAAUUUCUAAUACAUUAUACCAGGUUUGAUACCCUAUAUGAUAAUAGCAUAAGUUUAGAAGUCUGCAAAGCAGCGAAGCAGCAGCAGAAAUUGCAACUCACCAAUUUGGUCCCAUAAUUCUGCACUAGCCGCCCCAGGGACCAAGUGCAGAAAAAGUCUAGAACCGGAAUAUCGUUACCAGGCCCGAUGAAGGGUGACAGCAGUGAUAAAUCAACAAGCAAACCGAUCAAAAGAGGAAUGAAGAAAACCUGGCAAGCAGACAGUUUAAUUAAGUUACUGAGCUGUAGCAUAAAAAUAAAUAAAUACAAAUGAAAGCACCUCGACUAAAUUCCUCACCCAUAGGAAGAAAAUCACAUGUAUCUCCAAAGCUACAAGGCGUGUUCCCCCAUAAGUCAUGCAGAGAAAUGCAUCUCUGGAGGCGGCAAUAGUAAAGGAUAUGACGCCAAAACCAACGGCAAUAGCAAACAGAUCUAACAGAAAAAGUUGCACAAAUAAGCCCAAACAAGAUAAAAUUAUACUUUUUGCAAAGGAUGUCCACUGAUCAUCUGUGAACAAUAAUUACCAUUGGACUUCAUUUGAUGUACUAGCAGCUCAGGGAUGGCAGACAACAGUGUGCGCCCAAUUGAGAUUGAAAAGAAAAGCAUAGCAGUAUUACAUAUCACAACACCCAACCAGGAUAGCACCGCCUGUGGAAUUGUUUGAACAGCAACAAAUACCCUGGUACAAUGUGCAAGAAGGGUAAACAUCUACUGGAAGUUGUGCACCCAACACCUCUGACCUUGUAAAAGGCUUUAGCUAAUUGAAUGGUAGAAGAUAGAUUUUAGUACGAAAUGGACGUAUAUGGAGUCAGGCUACAAAAAAAUGUGCAUAUUGUGAAGUUCCUUGAAUGAACAAAGCUAUUGGUGCUUACCUUUUGACGGUAACUUCAUCGGUGCUUUCAUGCUGCUCUUCCGGUAAGAUAACAUCCAACAGAGGCUUUCCAGCAAUCACAAACCAGUAGUAUCCUACCCUCGGGACUAACCACUCAAGGUAUAAAACUGUGCUAUCGAUGAUGAAUUUCAGGUAAAGAACACCAGCAAAUAACUCUGCAUAGUACAGUCGCCCUUGCCAGAAUGAUGUGCCUUUAGCAGGAUAAUUAAAGUAGCUAAGAUUUGCAAAAUAUUUAAUUAGAUGUGUUCAGUCUCCAAAGGCUGGAAGAUACAUCAAAUGAAGAACAAAUAUAAAAAAUACUUACGUGAUAUUGAGUGGAAACAAUUUAGGCGCCAAGUGGACAACAAUUUUGCUCGGAAUUAGAAUGAGGAGAGCAAUGAAGGUAAUAUCGACAGAAAGCCUAGGAAGCUUCUUGAAAUAGAAUAUGUAGAAUGGUUCAUAAGCAUUAUAUCUGACGAAGUUCACGAAGCUAAUCAUAAUUGUUGGCUUCAACAUCUACUCAAGAAAGAAGUACAACACACAUUAUAAUGGAGCUGUAUAUUGCAUAUAUUAUUGGCAUGAUACAGAUAUAAUAUAAUAAAUACCUUUUGAAUAAUUCUGAAAAAUCUGAGGCGCAGACUCAAAAAGGUGUGUCCAAUAAACCAAUGAACAGCAGUAGUAGCAGACGAUGAUGCAAUCAGAAGUUUCAACCUCUGAGACAUUGUUGCACCAAACAUUUUUGAAGUACAGAUAUCAAGCAACCAACCAAUGAACAGUGGGUGUAGUAUAAAUUUGUAUAAAAGAUUAACACCAAUAUUGGCAGCAGUGAUUAGAUUUAAUAACCCUCCGAAGAAUAUACCAGGCAACCUUGGAAAGAAAAUUGUGAUCCCACUGAAGAAUAUACCAGACAGUCUUCUACAGAAAAUUGCGAUCAUAAGGGGCUUGCCACCCACAUAUUGAUGAAAAGUAAUCAGCCCAACAUAAGAUACGCCCGUAGUAAGGAGAAAUACAUAUCCAACAAAAAUAGUAGAAGCUGUCGAAAUAUAGGGGUUGACUUCACCCACAUUGGUAAUAUUGAAAGGCGACAUGCACCAUAAAUUUAUCCUUCCAAGUGAGAAUGGGAGAAAACCGAAAAUACAAGCAAUGGCCAUGUCAGCUAUUAACACCUGAUUAGACAAGCACAUAGUCAGGAUUUUCUGGAACUAAGUACCAAAAGACAAGCACAAGAAAUGUUAGGUACUCGCAGUGGCGGAGCCAGAAAAAUACAUGGAAGCGGGGGGCGAGUGCUGUUAAUCCAUGUUGGGGAGGACCAGACAGUAGAAAUACAAGGUUUUAACAGCAAGUAAACAGUGAUCUAAUAGAACAAUAUGCAUGUUCGCCUGGGCCCGAGUCCCUACUGGCCACCCCCUGUCUCCGCCAACAGAAAAAUGACAGAAAACGAAUUGUAGCAAGAGAUAUCAAGCUCAUGAAUACUUUCUUCCCUGAACAUGUCUCUACUAACUAAACAAAUGCUUCCUUCUGUACUAAAUUUGGUGGUUCACGUUUAGUACAUAUCUAACACAUACAGUUUUCAAACCUUUUUGGGUAUUCAACUGAAUACUCAUGAAUUGCACUGAUGUGGCCACCCCUGACUAGCCUAAAAAGGUAACAGAAAAUAAUACAUUUCCAGAGAAACUAAAGCACGAAAAGAGCAGGGCAGGCUUAUACAGUUCCGGUGGUGCACUUAAAAUAAUAACCAGAAGAAAUCGGCACCUAUAUUUUGGAAUAGUCCUCCCACUAUUGUCUCUAUCCAUACUGAUGCACAGUAAACAAAAUUGCAAACUAGAGAAGAAGUAAAGAAUUGAACAUCGUCUACUAGUUUAUCCCAUGUUAUAAGCUUUGUUUUACAGAACCUCCCACGUUAUCAUUGUUUUAGCAUUGCUACCAUUUCUGGCAAUAACCUCUACACAUAAAUGAUGAUACACUUUGAAGUGGAGCCAUACUAAACUAUGACUAACUAUAAAACAUUGGGAGAAUCAUGACAAAGAUGUGCUAAUUGUUCCAAUUGCAUAACACAACUGCAAUAAUUGGUGUUUUACUACAAUAUAAAAACCUAGCACCACCCCAAAAAUAUGGUCUAAUAGUCACCCAUUGUAGCAUAUAUAGAAAUAAAAUAAAUAAAGUGGCAGGCAAAAGGAAUUGGUUGAGAAGAAACAAGCAUACCACGCAGCAAGCUUGAACAUGAAGUAGCACAAAGGCGUGCAAUCCAUCAAUCCCCCAAUUCCCUUGACGCCGAGUUUGCAGACGUUCAACCCAGUGCGUGAAUGGCGCUACAGCAAACGGCACAUACGUAUGCGCAAGCACAACCAAGAGCACUGUCUGAGCGACAAUGGAGGUGCUAGAGAGGCUUAGGGAGAGCAGACCACGCGACUGAGGAAAGCUCCCGGUGAGCAGUAGGUGCCAUGCUGAGAAGUUGGUGAGGUGGUAUGCAGUUUCACGGUAGACACAUGCAAUGAAGAAGACGGGGAGCAGCAGGCUCAUGAGCUUGCCCGGCAAGCCCGCCAUGAACUCCGACAAGGGCAGCGUUGCGGGGGCGUCCUCGGCGAAGAGAGGGAGGGUGGUGAUUUCGUAUCUGCACACCUGUAACAAUUAUGCGAUCCAUCAGCAUGGGCAUCACAUCAACAGGAAAAAUAAGGAUAGGCACACCUACAGCAAUUAAGCACAAGCACUGCAGCAACAAGAUGACACGAAUUUUUCCCAUUUCAGAAGGGAUCAUGGCAGGCGACAUCACAAAGCACCUAGAUCGGACUGAUACCAGCAGUAAACAAGGCGGAUCUGGUGGAUCAGAGCGUGGGCAGCAGUGGCGGAGCUACGGCAAGGCCGAAUGGGCCAUGGCCCGCCCAGCCCAUGCUAUUUUCUGUAGUAUAUACUUCGUUUUGGGCCAUGAAACAUAUUCCCUGCAGUUAUUUUCUACAGUCGGCCCGCCCAGCUUUCUGGGUCAAGCUCCGCCACUGGUGGGCAGCCACGGGAGCAGACAAGAGGGGGGCAUGGCGGAUGCGAUGCUGGAAACCCUAGGUGGAGCGGAGGAGGCGAGAAGAUAACAUCCAGACCUGGCAGCGGCGUUGGUGGCUGGUGGCGAUCCACUGGAGCUGGCACUCGUCGUGGAUGUGCCUCAUAGUGCCUUGGCAGGCGCAAGGAUGGCGCAGCGGCCAUCCCGCCUCGCCGGGGAAGAAGCAGAUUCGGCACAGCUCCUUCUCUGCGUCGUCGCUGAUGUCUUCAGCGUGGUCCUCCUCUGGGAGCGCCAUCUCCGGCGGAGCGGGAUCUGCGGCGGCGGUGGCCAUGGGAGGCGGUACUCGAACUCUCUGUCUGCUGUCUGCUGUCUGAGUGCGUCUGCUCUGCUGUCCGAGACACGCGCCGUGCGUGGUUCUAUCGCCUCGGGCCGCGUGCGUUCUGUUUCGUGUGGGCCCAAGGGUUUGCAACACGUGUGUGAGAUCUCGGUGGGUACCUCAAAAUUUCGGGCCAAGCCCAAACGAAUUUCAAGCAGAACUCAAAUUCGGCCAAAAAAUCAUUAACAUUGGGUGAAUUUUGAUGGAUUGAAUUCUGAAAGAAUUUCCAAAUUUCAGAUACUUCUGUGAGGUCCAAAAUUUAUAUGAUUGCAAGAUUUUAAGAGAUCAUCAGUCGCUAAUGGAUAUCCUAUGACCAUCAGAAAUUCUCCACUGUUUUUUAUGGUGAAAGAACAACUGUUAACUAAGAGCUAAUCAGGAAAAGUAGAUGAUUUUUUUAAGCUAGGGGAGGGGGGUAUUUUUUUAAAGCAUGGAAGAGAUUCUCUUUUUUUUUGAAAUAAAGAUUAUCUUAGAUCUGAUUAAUCUCAAGGAAAAUAAAAGCAACUACAAUGGAUAGACAUCUGGACCUAGAACAACUAGUAAAAAAUAAAAUUACAUUGAAAAGCAUACUAGUCUUCUUCCUCCGAUUGUACGCCACACGCCGAAGAUUGAAAAUUGCACUGAACCAACAGUAAAGUAAAGCGACACCUACAAAUCGCCAUACCAAACUUUGAAGACCGCAAUAUAUAACCACUCAUCCAUCGAGAUGAAAUCUAUAAAUCCUUAAAGCAACAUCGGUUGGAGCAUCACCCGUGCAAAACACUCUUGCAAUGAAUCAGCAAUAGUUCAGAGGUUUAGAGAAACCGGGCUAAGCUACGGAACAACAUGGAAGAUGAUGUCGUAGUUGCCACAUUAGUAGUCACCCAAUAACUCUCUUUCAAAGACACACUGACUGCCAAUAUUUGAAAAGAACCAAUAGAUCCGGGGACACAAACACUCACAAGCCCUUCGCCGGUGCCAAAUUGGACGUCGUCGAGGUAGGAAGAGACCGAAUAGAUGUUAUUCCAACACAACAUCGUCUCCACUAGCUCUUUGAUGUCGCUCUAGAAACAAAAACUAAAGUAAAAUGAAACGAGAUGGAUGGGUGCUCAGUCUUCUUGCCACCGCCGAGGCUACCGGACCGAAAGGAGGAGUGGUACCAAGGCGACGCCGUGUAGGGAAGCAGUGGCAGUGGCUAGUUAGGCUGGCAAUGGGGAUUACUCCAGAGGGUAUUGGACUCCCAUGCCCGCCCCCGUGACAGCCUUCCCAUGUAUGUCCCGUUCCCCAUACCAGUCUGUGGGGAUAAAAAGAUUCCCAUCCCCAUCUCUGCCGGGUUUUUAUCCCCAUGGAGAAACCCAUACACGCAAUCAACAACAACCUUCGAUGGCAUUUCAGUAGAAAAAAAUAGCAUUUUGGCACAAUAAACAAUAUGAUGUAACUAGGUUAGAGAUUUCUUAGGGCUUCUUGGCCAAAGUGGUGGGAUGGGUGGAAAUUUGUGUGGGUAAGUGCAGGAAUUAUCCGGGGUCUACUAUUUUAGAGUCCACUUGUGAGGUCUUCAUGGGUAAGGCACGUAACAUGCACAUGCAAUGGUAUCCCAUCCCCAUCCCCGUCUUGCGCGUUGUCUAAGGUAUUUGACCCAUCAGCUUUCUCGUGGGCAUUAAAGAUGGUACAUCCCAGUCCCCUGAUAGAGUAAUUACCCACGGGGACACAAGUAACGGUUAAUCAUUGCCAGCUUGGGUCGGCAGGGUUGCCGCUGAUUUCUAAUUGAGUUGUAAAUGGAAGGGAUUAUUAAUUGAACCGACAUGUAGCUUUCUCACAUGAACUAUGUUUUUUUCAAAAGGACCCGGAUAUAUUAAAAAGGGCCAUAAUAAGUAUAUAGCACCCCAAGCAUAAUACAAAUUACAUCAAGUACCCUACACCGCCGAACGACCACUACCACUGCAAAAACGAGCCGCUGAUUGCUGCUAGGUCGGUAAUGAACUCCUUCAUCCAGAUUGCUUCAUGUGCUGGAGAGAUCAUCAUAAAUUAUUAAAGUAUGCCGUUCGCGGUACAUAAAAUACUCAGCCAGGGCUGCUCCCAUAUAAGGAGCGAGGUAUUGUAAUGUAGCAGGUGAAUCCGCCAUUUCAGCUACUACAAUAGUGUAUUCCAUGGCCCCCUCCUCAUGGAAAGUAGUUACUACUUGAGCUACGGAGGAUGCUCUUUGACCGAUAGCUACAUAAACACAUAUUACACCUUGCCCUUUUUUGAUUGAGAAUUGUAUGUGUGGCUACUGCUGUUUUGCCAGUCUGUCUGUCCCCAAUAAUUAACUCUCGCUGACCGCGCCCUAUAGGGAUCAUCGAAUCGAUAGCAAUAAGCCCUGUUUGAAGAGGUUCGUAUACGGAACGCCUGGAAAUUAUACUUGGAGCAGGAGAUUCAAUUAAGCGAGAUUCAGAAGCUAUAAUUUCGCCUUUCCCAUCCAUAGGUUUAGCCAGAGCAUUUACAAGACGACCCAAGUAAGCCUCACUCACGGGUAUCUGAGCAAUUCUUCCUGUUGCUUUUACAAAACUUCCCUCUUGUAUCAUCAACCCAUCGCCCAUUAAUACAAUCCCAACAUUUUUGGAUUCCAAAUUCAGAGCAAUACCCCUAGUACCUUCUGCAAAUUCGACUAAUUCACCUGACAUUAUUUCACCAAGACCUAUAAUACGAGCAAUCCCAUCCCCCACUUGAACUACGCGACCUAUAUUCUCAAUCCCUACUUUCCUAUUAUAUUGUUCAAUACAUUCACAGAGAAUUUUAUGAAUUUUGUCGAUUCGAAGGGUUGCCAUUAGUGUUUCUUGACUCUUUUUUCGGAAGCAAGGGGAAAAAUAAUGCCUAAAUUCUAAACGAAAGUAGAAGUUCCCCCCGAGGCUGCCAUGUACUCCGCUUCACAUGUAGAUCCCGCCACGACGCUUUGCUUGCAACUGCACCAGCUGACUGCCCCACCAUUCAAAAUAUACACGUAUCCGGUUUGUGACUUGGAGUCAUCCAGAUCUGUGUCGAAGCUAGCAUCGACGUAACCCUUUAUGACGAGCUCUCCGUCAUCUCCAUAUACGAGAAACAUAUCCUUAGUCCUUUUCAGAUACUUCAGGAUAUUCUUGACUGCUGUCCAGUGUUCCAUGCCGGGAUUACUUUGGUACCUCCCUACCAAACUUACGACAAGGUUCACAUCAGGUCUGGUACACAACAUGGCAUACAUGAUAGACCCUAUGGUUGAGGCAUAGGAGACGACACUCAUCUUUUCUCUAUCUUCUACUGAGGUUGGGCAUUGAGCCUGCUCAAUUUCACACCUUGCAAUACAUGCAAGAACCCCUUCUUGGACUGAUCCAUAUUGAACUUCUUCAAUAUCUUAUCAAGGUAUGUGCUUUGUGAAAGAACGAUGAGGCUUCUCGAUCUAUCUCUAUAGAUCUUGAUGCCUAAUAUGUAAGAAGCUUCUCCAAGGUCCUUCAUUGAAAAACACUUAUUAAAGUAGGCCUUUGUGCUUUCCAAAAGUUCUAUAUCAUUUACCAUCAAUAGUAUGUCAUCCACAUAUAAUAUGAGAAAUGCUAUAGAGCUCCCACUCACUUUCUUGUAAAUGCAGGCUUCUCCAUAAGUCUACAUAAACCCAAACGCUUUGAUCAUUUCAUCAAAGCGAAUGUUUCAACUCCGAGAUGCUUGCACCAGCCCAUAGAUAGAGCGCUGGCUUGCAUACAUCGUUAGCAUUCUUAGGAUCGACAAAACCUUCCAGCUGCAUCAUAUACAAUUCUUCCUUAAGGAAACCGUUAAGGAAUGCCGUUUUGACGUCCAUUUGCCAUAUCUCAUAAUCAUAGAAUGCGGCAAUAGCUAACAUGAUUCAGACGGACUUCGGCUUCACUAUGGGUGAGAAGGUCUCAUUGUAGUCAACCCCUUGAACUUGUCGAUAACCCUUAGCGACAAGCCGAGCUUUAUAGAUGGUCACAUUACCAUCCGCGUCAGUCUUCUUCUUAAAGAUCCAUUUAGUUUCUAUGGCUCGCCGAUCAUCGGGCAAGUCUGUCAAAGUCCAUACUUUGUUUUCAUACAUGGAUCCUAUCUCGGAUUUCAUGCCUUCAAGCCAUUUGUUGGAAUCUGGGCCCGCCAUUGCUUCUUCAUAAUUCGAAAGUUCACCUUUGUCUAACAACAUGAUUUCCAGGACAGGGUUGCCGUACCACUCUAGUGCGGAACGUGCCCUAGUGGACCUACGAAGUUCAGUAGAAACUUGAUCCGAAGUUCCUUGAUCAUCAUCAUUAACUUCCUAUCUAGUCGGUGCAGGCACCACAGAAACAUUUUCCUGAGCUGCGCUACUUUCCGGUUCAAGAGACAGUACUUCAUCAAGUUCUACUUUCCUCCACUUCCUUCUUUCGAGAGAAACUCUUUCCUAGAAAGGAUCCGUUCUUGGCAACAAAGAUCUUGCUUUCGGAUCUAAGGUAGAAGGUAUACCCAAUGAUUUCCUUAGGGUAUCCUAUGAAGACGCAUUUUUCCGACUUGGAUUCGAGAUUUUCAGGUUGAAGUUUCUUGACAUAAGCAUCGCAUCCCCAAACUUUUAGAAACGACAGCUUAGGUUUCUUCCCAAACCAUAAUUCAUAUGUUGUCGUCUCAACAGAUUUAGACGAUGCCCUAUUUAAAGUGAAUGUGGCUGUCUCUAAAGCAUAACCCCAAAAUGAUAGCGGUAAAUCGAUAAGAGACAUCAUAGAUCACACCAUAUCCAAUAGAGUGUGAUUACGAUGUUCGGACACUCCAUUACGCUGAGGUGUUCUAGGCGGCGUGAGUUGUGAAACAAUUCCACAUUUCCUUAAGUGCGUACGAAACUCGUGACUUAAAUAUUCUCCUCCACGAUCUGAUCAUAAGAACUUUAUUUUCCUAUCACGUUGAUUCUCCACCUCACUCUAAAAUUCCUUGAAAUUUUCAAAGGUUUCAGACUUGUGUUUCAUCAAGUAUACAUACCCAUAUCUACUUAAGUCAUCAGUGAGGGUGAGAACAUAACGAUAGCCACCGCGAGCCUCAACGCUCAUUGGUCCACACACAUCAGUAUGUAUUAUUUCCAAUAAGUUGGUUGCUCGCUCCAUUGUUUCGGAGAACGGAGUCUUGGUCAUCUUGCCCAUGAGGCAUGGUUCGCAUGUGUCAAGUGAUUCAUAAUCAAGAGACCCCAAAAGUCCAUCUGCAUGGAGUUUCUUCAUGCGUUUGACACCAAUGUGACCAAGGCGGCAGUGCCACAAGUAUGUGGGACUAUCAUUAUUAACCUUACAUCUUUUGGUAUUUACACUAUAAAUAUGUGUAACAUCACGUUCAAGAUUCAUUAAGAAUAAUCAUUGACCAGCGGGGCAUGACCAUAAAACAUAUCUCUCAUAUAAAUAGAACAACCAUUAUUAUUGGAUUUAAAUGAGUAGCCAUAUCGCAUUAAACGAGAUCCAGAUACAAUGUUCAUGCUCAAAGUUGGCACUAAAUAACAAUUAUUGUGGUUUAAAACUAAUUCCGUAGGUAAAUGUAGAGGUAGCGUGCCGACGGCGAUCACAUCGACUUUGGAACCAUUCCUGACGCGCAUCGUCACCUCGUCCUUUGCCAGUCUCCGCUACCGCACCGGCUUUGGAACCAUUCCUAUUUUGAGUUACAAAUAUAAGCAACCGCACCGGUAUCAAAUACCCAGGAGCUACUACGAGGACUGGUAAUUAAGGUACACAUCAAUAACAUGUAUAUCGCAUAUACCUUUGGUGUUGCCGGCCUUCUUAUCCGCUAAGUACUUGGGGCAGUUCUGCUUCCAGUGACCAUUUCUCUUGCAAUAAAAACACUGAGUCUCGGGCUUGGGUCCAUUGUUUGGCUUCUUCCUGGCAACUGAUUUACCGGGCGUGGAAACUCCCUUGCCGUCCUUCUUGAAGUUCUUUUUACCCUUGCCUUUCUUGAAACUAGUGGUCUUAUUCACCAUCAACACUUGAUGUUCCUUUUUGAUUUCCACCUCCGCUGAUUUCAGCAUUGAAUAUAACUCAGGAAUGGACUUCUCCAUCCCCUGCAUAUUGUAGUUCAUCAUAAAGCUCUUGUAGCUAGGUGGGAGCGACUGGAGGAUCCUGUCAAUGACCGAGUCAUCUGGAAGAUUAACUCCUAGCUGAGACUAAUGGUUGUGCAACCCAGACAUGGUGAGUAUGUUCUCACUGACAGAAUUGUUUUCCUCCAUCUUACAAAUGUAGAACUUGUCAGAGACUUCAUAUUUCUCAACCCGGGCAUGAGCUUGGAAAACCAUUUUCAGCUCUUGGAACAUCUCAUAUGCUCCGUGCUGCUCAAAACUCUUUUGGAGCCCCGGUUCUAAGCUGUAAAGCAUGCCGCACGGAACCAGGGAGUAAUCAGCACUACGCGACUGCCAGGCGUUCAUAACGUCUUGAGUUGCUGGGAAAAUGGGUGUGUCACCUAGCAGUGCUUCAAGGACAUAUGCUUUCUUGGCAGCUAUGAGGAUGAUCCUCAAGUUCCGGAACUAGUCCGUAUAGUUGCUCCCAUCAUCUUUUAGCUUGGUUUUCUCUAGGAACACGUUGAAGUUGAGGGCAACAUUAGCGUGGGCCAUUUGAUCUACAAUACAUAUUAAAAAGAUAUUUUAGACUAUUUCAUGAUAAUUAAGUUCAUCUAAUUAAAUUAUUUAAUGAACUCCCACUCAGAUAAACAUCCCUCUAGUCAUCUAAGUGAUACAUGAUCCGAGUCAAGUAGGCCGUGUCCGAUCAUCACGUGAGACAGACUAGUCAUCAUCAGUGAACAUCUUCAUGUUGAUCGUAUCUACUAUACGACUCAUGUUCGAUGUCGGGGGUUGGGUACGACAUAUGCCAAGGGAUGGCUUAUCAUGGUGGGGGCGAGUAGAACGUCGCCGGUGCCUGGAAGCGGGAUGAGGCGAAGGCAUGCACACCGGCGAAUCUUACCCAGCUUCAGGGCUCUUCGUGGAGAUAACACCCCUACUGCUGCUCUGCGGGGUCUCCGCAUGAUCACUAUGGCAAAGUGAGUACAAGGUUGCUCCUAGAGCUGUUUCCUGGAGGUAGGAGAAGGCAAGGCUAGCUUCCUCCUUCCUAUAUGGUCUGGUCUAAUGCUAAUGGAGCGAUCGUGUUACAUGGGUGCCCUGGGGGGCUUAUAUAGGCCUGCCCCCCUGUCAGGACCCCGACUCAAUGCCACAUCGAUCUAGCAUGUAACACCUCAUAUCACUUUGCGGCCUCACGCACGGUAUUCCCACGGUGUCGCCUUACCUUAGCCCGGGACCGUUUGCGCCUUUUGGCACACGUAUAUGACAGUGUCGCUAGCAUCCAUAUGAUAAGGAGCCCGGGCUGACAUGGCUAGUCGUAAACCCAAAGUGGCACAGACUUACAGGGACAUGCAUCCAUGACCCAGCAUCAAACGUGUCGGUCAUCAGCGAGUGAAUCCAGGCUGUAGCACUGGGCUAGCAGGACUCCGGUGAACCGGGCUGUAGCAGGCUAACAGGACUCCGGUAUUCAUCGCGUGACAUUUCCCCGAAGGGACAGACACGGGAACGAAGAAGGACACAUGCCGGCCAGCCUAAGUGUUCCGGAGCAGUAGCGAGCUACCAUGGCUCUAUGGAAACACUAGGAGACAUUUCCCGGUAAGAGAGGCUACUAAAGAUAAACAACUAGAUGGUCAGAUCCCACACAUACCAAGCAUUUCAAUAACAUACACACAAUAUGCUCGAUAUGUGCAAAUACAACAUGGCAUCACAACAUGACUCUAUGACUCAAGUAAUUUAUCAAUAGGCUCCGAGGAGCGAGAUAUUACAACCAUGGGUCUCAUGACCCAACAUUCAGAGCAUAAAAAUCAAAACACAAGCGGAAGCUAUCAUGUCUGAGUACAAACAUUUAUAAAUGAAAAAGGCUGAGAAGCCUGACUAUCUAUCAGAUCCUGCCGAGGCACAAGAUCGUAGCUGAGGUAACAAGCUAAACGUCGAAGUCCACGCGAUACUACUAGCGAGACCGAAGUAUCUCUGCAAAAACAUAAAAUAGGCAAACGUGAGUACAAAUGUACCCAGCAAGACUUACAUCAGAACUAUCUACAAAUGCAUCAUUAUCAACAAAGGGGUGGUGGGGUUUAACUACAGCAAGCCAGCUUUGACUCGGUGGCUAUCCUGAACUACGACUGCAAUGUAACUCUUUUGAGGUGGCGCACAUGAGUCCACAUAUUCACCAUAUCAAUACACCACUAUGGAUCCGCUCCCGUCUCCCUACGAGGACGCCAUCCAUAGCACUCACGCUUAUCUUGCGUAUUUUAGGGUAUCCACUUUCACUUGUCUAUGAACUGAUAUAAGCAACCCAGAAGUCCUUUACCACGGACACGGCUAUUCGAAUAGAUGAUGUUAACCCUGCAGGGGUGUACUUCUUCACACACGCUCUCACCACUUACCGCCGUUUACACGACAUGUACUCGGCAACCUUCAAGCGGAAGCCCAACGUGGGUGUCGGCCACGGCCUACCUAAACACUCAAGUCUCUAGUCCAGGUUUAUCGCCUAUUCGGGUUCCAUCCAUGAGGAGAUCCGGCCGGAGUUUCGCUCACAGCCCCAAACGAUGUGAACAGGGUUCUCGAGACACCAAACGGGCGCCCGGUACACCGUGCCACGUGCCUACCGCAUCACAGCCCACCCCUACGGUCAGCGCUGCGCACGGCCUCCAGCAUACUACAAACACCAGAAACUACUUGCAACUCCUGGACAGAGGACAAGGGUGAUCAAGAAGCCGAGAGGGUCCAUUGGUUUCGGGCCCAAUGCGUGGUAGUAGCUGAAUCAUGGAUCACAAACACAGAACUCAGUUCCUGAGGACGGCUGCAAUGAGACAACCCACCAUGUACUCCUACAUGGCCUCUCACCGCUACCUUUACCAAAUCGUGUUCACACGCUUAGCUCACACACCGUAGGACAUGUUCACACACCUCUGAUUCAUCCCGGAUGAAUCAGACCUGACUCGACUCUAAGCAGUAGCAGGCAUGACAAACAAGCAUGAAUGAGUAGGCACAACAGGGCUCAAACAACUCCUACUCAUGCUAGUGGGUUUCAUCUAUUUACUGUGGCAAUGACAGGUCAUGCAAAGGAUAAAGGGGUUCAACUACCGCAGCAAGUAACAGAUGAAUCGGUGUUGUCCUAAUGCAGUAAAAGAGAGCAGGAGCGAGAGAGUGGGAUUUUCUCGGAAUGAACAAGGGGGUUUUGCUUGCCUGGCACUUCUGAAGAUAACAUUGAGUCUUCAUCAGUGUCAACGAUCACAACGUCGGAACAUCCUCUACCGGGAGGGAACAAAUACCGACAACAAAGAAGAAAUACAAUCAAUGCAAUGCACAAUAUGAUGCAUGCUCAUGACAUGGCAAUAUGAAUGUGUUUUGAGCUAAUGCAACUAGCAACAGAUUAAAUGAAGUUGGUUUGAAUAUAAGAUUCAAAUUCAAACUCCAUAUGUGAUUAUUCAGAUGCCAUUUAUAUGAUUUGUGCUAAACAGCACCUAUAAGUUGUUCUAACAUGCAUGAAAAUAGUACAGAUGGAUAGAUUGGAUUUUUCUGGUCAUUUUUCAUAUAUAAUUUAUCUCAUUUGGAGUUACGGUUGAAUUUCUAUGAUUUUUAGAAGUUUUUAGGCAUUUUCUGGAAUUUCCUGAAUAAGAACAAAUCCAGAAAACAUUACUGCGUCAUCCUGACGUCAUGAUGACGUCAGCAGGUCAACGUGGCACAGUCCGGUCAAACUCUGACCGGUGGGUCCCGAGUGUCAGUGUCUAACUAAACUAACCUAGCUUAGUUAAUACUAACCUAACUUAAUUAGCCGGGCGGGGCCCGCAUGUCAGUGAGAGAGAGGGGGGUCAAACCCGGGUCAAACUCGCCGGAGUUGACCCGAGGCUCAUCGCCGGCGAGGCCAGGGUCGGCGGAGAGCGUCGGGAUUUGCCCUCCGAUGACCAAAAGAGCGGCGGAGGGGCUCUACGGGAUGCCCAGGCUCGCGCGCAUCUAACAGGGCCAACGGGAGAAGCUAGGGUGGCCGGAAGCGACGGCAAUCAUGACGACGGCGGCGGCCGGAGUUCGGGUGGUGGCGGGUUUGGCGCUACGAGCGGUGGUUUGGCGCGCUGAGGGCACUAGGGAGAAGCUCUUGCUCUCGCGCAUCCAGAGGACCAAGUGGGAGGUCGUGGGGUCGCCGGAACUCAUGCCGGCGACGAGCUUUGGCGGCGAUGGUGUUCGGUGGUGCUCGGGCGCGUCGCUACGGUGCAUCAGUGAGCAAAUGGAGAGGCUGGGCAGCACCGGCUAGACAUGGGGAGCACUAAGAGCAGCACAGUGAGGCCAGGGGAGCACGGAGGCUAUGCGUGCAGCAGCAAUGGCGGACGGUGGCUUCGGUGCUCGUGGGGAACGGCGCUACGGUGCACAAGAGGGGAAACGGAAGGGCGCUGCGGCCUCCUGGGGUUGCGGUGAGCACGACGGUGGGCUCGGGAGCGAGCUGCGGUGGAUGUGGCCACGGCCACGCCAUGGCCAGCGGCGAGAAGCUCUCGGCCGCGGUGGAUAACCUAGCUACGGCGCGCGAACGAUGAAACAGAGAGGGGGAAACGGACGGAGAGCUCACGUAGACCCUGUAGAGGUGGACGGCGAGCUUGAGGGAGGCCGGACGAGGGCGGAUUUGACGGCGGCGAUCCGCGGUGGCCGAGGAGGGGAACGGCGAAGCUGGUAGCAUCCAGGGCUUCCGGAGGGCCGUGGAUCGGUGGGGAGGAAGAGGGGGUCGAGGCGGAGCCUUUGAGCACAUCGGCGAGGCUAGGGGGUGGCGGUGGCCGCGAGGGAGCUCGUCGGUGGCGGCGGCUCCGUUCGGCGAGUGAGGGAGAGAGGAAGCAGAGGAGGGGGGGGAGAGUUCGGGAGAGUGAGGGAGUUCCAGGGGGUGGCGUGGCACGCAUGGAGGCGUCCGGGGUGUCGAGGUGGAGCGGCAAGCAGGAGGUGGCCGGGCGUGCGCCGGUGUGCGUCGGCCACGCGCGUGUGCCUACUGGCGCGAGGAGGAAGGCGACAGGGGGGGGAAGUGGAGAUGGGCUGGGCCGUGCUGCUGGGCCAGGUGGGCUACCAGGUGAGCGCCAGGUAGUCCUUCUCUCUCUUUCCAUUUCUGUUUUUAUUUAUCUAUUUUGUUCUGUGUUGUUUUAGUUUAGUAAAAUACUAAACCAUUUUAUAAAAUCCUGAAAAUAGUUAUGUGGCUAGAGUUAAAAUAUACCAAACCACAUAAAAUGUUCCAGUAAUUAUUGGACAUAUAUUAUUUAUAUAUCAAAUAUAUAUCCAAUGCAAAUAGCUAUUUAUUUAAUUCAAAGGCCCAAAAUAAUUAACUCUGAGAUACCAAAAAUAUUGUUUUGAGUUUUACCUCUUUGCAAUAUUUUCAGAGACUAAGAGGAACUUUUUCUUGGACUUCUUUGAGGAGAUUUUAAUGUUGAUCAUUUUUAGAAGGUUUCUGAGGCUUUGAAAAUUCCUCAAUUCAAAUUUCAUUUGAAUUAAAACAUGAUGCUCACCUGAGGUCUAGCCUAGUGCAUAACAGGACCAGGGAUGUGACAACUCACCCCCACUAAACAAAAAUCUCGUCCCGAGAUUCAAGCGUAGGGUAAGGUGAAGGGGAAACGCAACUAGUAUAAUCUUCACGAUCCAGGGUGCACUUCAUAAGAGCGUUGAUUCGAUCACCAUCAUUGUCUCGAAGUCUUUCUCUAAGAACUCCAACUAACAUGACAAGAAGAGGGAAGGAAAACUCUAGAAGAAUUAAUCUUCUCAAAGAACGAACAACUCAGGAUUAACUCACGGAAUGGGACAUAGCAACAUCUCUCGAGCUGAGAGACGAAGCACACCUCUAGAGGAAUGGAGUGGACCCGAUGACGAAGGUUCACUAGGUAGACAACGAUUCCACACCUAAGAAGGUGGUGAACGGUUGUCAACGUAGCGAGGAGUUGAGUUGCCAUGAUACCUCAACGAGACAUCCUGGAGGGGGGGGGUGAUUCGUAGAUAUAUCCCCUUAAGUGGCAAAAAGAAUUACUUUUGAUUCAGAGAUCAUUGAAACUCUUCAUACCAGCCUAAGGCAAUUUUCGGGCGAUCGUUUGGAGGGGGUCGGUAGAAUGGCAUACUCGGACUUGGAUGAUGUGGAUUACCUUGUUGAAGACAACGUAAUGGAUGAAUUUGCUUAUCACCGGAAAUGGAAGAGACCCAUGGUAGAAUGGCACAAUGGCGGUGCAAGCUGGGAACAGAAUGCAAAUGCUGGGAAUGAUUCUGGUAACUGGGGAAGAACCCAACAAUAGAGAGUGAAUUCACUGUUUGAAUAGGUCAUAGCAUUGCCGAGGAAACUGAGAGCAAACCCAGUUAGUGCCGAUGAUAACACGUAGCGCUUGUGCGUGCUCUCAAGAACUUGAGCAUUUCCACAUUCAUCAAGGUUUUACCAAUAUCCGUGUCAAGGAUCCUGGCAACACAACUUGCUACCACGAUGAAUGAUGAUGGAUGAUGCAGAUGCAAAGGAAGAUAACACUUCUCAGAUUUCAUCUUAGCGAGGCCAAGGAAAUAAAAUCUGGAUGAUCGACCGAGAGACAUUUAGCACUCCGCUUCUAAUGUUCUUCUUGAUGUGCUAGUGUAACCCAUUCAUAGAUAUGGUUUGAUAUCUAGAACAUCAAGUAAAGGUCGGACUUCAGGAGCACAAGAAUCCAUAAGGAACAACUAGGGAGGUAAAUCCUACGAAAUCCUUAUGGGGAGGUGGCCAACUUCCUCAAUCAAGAUAUUAUAAUAACAGGUCUUCCGGCUGGGUGUGUUGGCCACGACAUCCACUUUACCGGUUUCCAAGGGAUCGAUAUUAUAGUUCUUGGAAAAUGUUCCAAACCAUCAUAUCUGCCUGAGAUUCAGAUCUGGUUGGUGUCAGGAUAUUCCAGACUCAUCGAGUCUAGGAAGAAAAACGAAAGUUUGCAACACAAAUCGACGAGAUGACGUUGCGAGAUUCUCGGGGAAUGAACUACGAUAGUAAGCUCCAAAACAUGAGCUGGUUCUGCUACACACAUGUGAACACGCUGUCCCAGACAAGCAUGACCACAUAGUAGUCUUAUAAUAAAACACUACCGAGUUCAGAAGGUGGAACCAUCAACGAGGGUAUCGAAGUCCUUACAUAAGUCCGGAUUAGCUCUUAUGAAGGAACUUCUUCUCCUUGAACAAAUCAAUCAGUGGCUUGGUGUGCUAGGGAUACAUAUAGAUUGAAGGUUGCAAGUCUUCAAACCACAGCAUUCUUCGCACGUGUGCAUGACUGAUUUGGAAUGAUUCCAAAGAAAGCAACAUUGACUUUCUCGAAUCCACGGCGGCAACUUGCAACAGAUGCACAUGAAUUAAAGGAAGUCACUACCUUCAUCCAAACAUAUGCUUCAUGAGCUAGCAUGAACAAAUGCUUUCAAAAGUUUCCAACACUAGAUUAAUGUUCAACAACAUCAUGGAGGAGAUAAGGAUGUUGCCAAUGGGCUCAACAACAAUUCAUCUAGGUUUCCUUUUAAAAGGAAUUGCAUAGUUAAGUGAACACGGUGAUAGCAUUGGUCAGACCAAAGAUGUAAUGGUGUAUGCUCGAGGGAUCAACCACGAAUAAGACAACAUUACGAGCAUCGUUGGUACUGAUUUGAUUUGACGAUAGCCCACACUCAAAUCAAAGGAUUGAUAAGACAAUAGGUCCAGCAACUGAUCACAAGGACCAAUCGAUGAAGAUAUCAUCUUUCUUCAACACACACUACACAAGAAUAUCCCUUUGGAACGAACUAAGUCAGGCAAGCUUUUAUCUUCCAACUCUCCAAGUUGUUGUCUAGCUUAACCAACUAGCUCAGGGAUAUCUAACACCGAUUCUUGGAGAGAAGGUGGUUCACAAGAAACCAACUUGAUCACGAGCUCAACAUAACAGUCAGGGAACAACCUGGUAAUACUUCCGAGAAGAUAUUUGGAAAAUCACGAACCACCGGUAUGUCACUAAGCUCGGGAACAAUCUCGCUUUUGAGGGCAAGACGAUAUGAUCAAAUGAGUGAGGACUUGACAAGAUCCUAACUCAUCAAUCGAAGGGUGCACCGAAAUAAGGACUAGGUAGCACGAUCAGUCUUAGAAGGAUGAUUCAAAAACCAACACGCUAAGAAUGAAAUUAUUAUCCUUUAACUACCAAGCAACGAGGUUGCUGGGAGUAUUGAUUUCACACAUCUCAAUUGAUUUGUCGGUAUUCCGGUUGCAUCAACAUGAGGGCCGAGGAAUGACUAAUGAUGGUGAGAAGUAUCACUACGUCAAAAUUCAUGAGAGUUGGUGCAGUUCUCAUGACAAUUCUGACAUAAAGGGGUAAUACUCCAAGGUAGAACAGAACCAAAAGCUGGAUUGGCAUUUGAUCUGCGGCAUACAACUUCUUUGACUCAAUCCUGGAUAUGGAAGAGGUACUGGAGUUUGUUUCUCCUAGUCAUUCCGAACUAGAACGGCUUAACGGACCACAAGAAUAACGAGCAUCGGUGAACACGAAUGCACGACAUCAACUUGACUAUCAACUGCUGGACAAGGGUCAAAUACAACUACAGAGGGACAACUCAAAAGAACAUAUGAUUUCCUGAGUUGUGGAUGCAUGGUUUAGCAUGUCGAACGAAGUUCAACAUAUUUCUUCCGGAUAACCCAUGUAGAAAGGUAGAACUGGCAGAGCCACAAUAUAUAAUGGAGAACUCAUCAAGAGCACUCUGGUUGUGAUCGUUCAGUUCAACGAGGAACUUCUGCCAUAAGUAGUUCAUGGUAUUUGGAAGAAGGAGAUACCACGGACUUCAAGGACUAUCGCAAAGGUUACUAAUAUCCUAAAGGCACUAGCAAUUACUAUCAACAUGAAGUAGGUAGAGUGAAUCUCGGGUUCAAGAACCCAGGAAUAGAAUACCUAUUACUAAGUAGCAUCACGGGAUGCUUUCGAGAAUGAUGGCCAGAAUCAUCACACUGGGAACACAAAUCAUGGCUAAAUUACUAGAUGAUCCCCUAAGACACCUAGGGUCAUAAUAAUAUCUCCAACAUAUAUGUCAAGGUAACAGAGUACCUCAACUCACUGAUUAGUGUGGUUAAUCUGGCCCAUGGGAACAUUGAAACGGGAAGAAAGGAUUUGCAAAUGCAUCAGACUACUUAGAAACCUGGGAUGACUCGCACAGCAUAACGGCUGUAAAUGCUCAGAAAAGAUUUGAGACAUUCACAAAAAUGGUGGCAUAACCACUCAGAAGCACAAUAUCAAGGUUCCGAGAUCAACAAUUAACAUACGGAAGUAGUAGGAACUGAACUGAGACUUAAACCCAACAAUCUUAAGUCUACGGAUUAGUAACACGUGAUCCUGAUAGAAAGAAGAGAUAGCCUAGUUCUUAAUCCCCGUAGAAGAGAAGAUGAUGACUCAGAUCAGAAGGCCAUGAGGUAUAAGGAGUAAAAAGAGCCUUACGUUCCAUCCCACAAUCAAUUCCCUUAUAUAACUAAGAAUUUCUAGACUCAACUUCCACCAGUUUGGCUUGGUAAUCCUACAGGCAGUCAAGCUCUGAUACCAAUGCUGUCAGGACCCCGACUCAAUGCCACAUCGAUCUAGCAUGUAACACCUCAUAUCACUUUGCGGCCUCACGCACGGUAUUCCCACGGUGUCGCCUUACCUUAGCCCGGGACCGUUUGCGCCUUUUGGCACACGUAUAUGACAGUGUCGCUAGCAUCCAUAUGAUAAGGAGCCCGGGCUGACAUGGCUAGUCGUAAACCCAAAGUGGCACAGACUUACAGGGACAGGCAUCCAUGACCCAGCAUCGAACGUGUCGGUCAUCAGCGAGUGAAUCCAGGCUGUAGCACUGGGCUAGCAGGACUCCGGUGAACCGGGCUGUAGCAGGCUAACAGGACUCCGGUAUUCAUCGCGUGACAUUUCCCCGAAGGGACAGACACGGGAACGAAGAAGGACACAUGCCGGCCAGCCUAAGUGUUCCGGAGCAGUAGCGAGCUACCAUGGCUCGAUGGAAACACUAGGAGACAUUUCCCGGUAAGAGAGGCUACUAAAGAUAAACAACUAGAUGGUCAGAUCCCACACAUACCAAGCAUUUCAAUAACAUACACACAAUAUGCUCGAUAUGUGCAAAUACAACAUGGCAUCACAACAUGACUCUAUGACUCAAGUAAUUUAUCAAUAGGCUCCGAGGAGCGAGAUAUUACAACCAUGGGUCUCAUGACCCAACAUUCAGAGCAUACAAAUCAAAACACAAGCGGAAGCUAUCAUGUCUGAGUACAGACAUCUAUAAAUGAAAAAGGCUGAGAAGCCUGACUAUCUAUCAGAUCCUGCCGAGGCACAAGAUCGUAGCUUAGGUAACAAGCUAAACGUCGAAGUCCACGCGAUACUACUAGCGAGACCGAAGUCUCUCUGCAAAAACAUAAAAUAGGCAAACGUGAGUACAAAUGUACCCAGCAAGACUUACAUCAGAACUAUCUACAAAUGCAUCAUUAUCAACAAAGGGGUGGUGGGGUUUAACUGCAGCAAGCCAACUUUGACUCGGUGGCUAUCCUGAACUACGACUGCAAUGUAACUCUUUUGAGGUGGCGCACAUGAGUCCACAUAUUCACCAUAUCAAUACACCACUAUGGAUCCGCUCCCGUCUCCCUACGAGGACGCCAUCCAUAGCACUCAUGCUUAUCUUGCGUAUUUUAGGGUAUCCACUUUCACUUGUCUAUGAACUGAUAUAAGCAACCCAGAAGUCCUUUACCGCGGACACGGCUAUUCGAAUAGAUGAUGUUAACCCUGCAGGGGUGUACUUCUUCACACACGCUCUCACCACUUACCGCUGUUUACACGACAUGUACUCGGCAACCUUCAAGCGGAAGCCCAACGUGGGUGUCGGCCACGGCCUACCUAAACACUCAAGUCUCUAGUCCAGGUUUAUCGCCUAUUCGGGUUCCAUCCAUGAGGAGAUCCAGCCGGAGUUUCGCUCACAGCCCCAAACGAUAUGAACAGGGUUCCUGAGACACCAAACGGGCGCCCGGUACACCGUGCCACUUGCCUACCGCAUCACAGCCCACCCCUACGGUCAGCGCUGCGCACGGCCUCCAGCAUACUACAAACACCAGAAACUACUUGCAACUCCUGGACAGAGGACAAGGGUGAUCAAGAAGCCGAGAGGGUCCAUUGGUUUCGGGCCCAAUGCGUGGUAGUAGCUGAAUCAUGGAUCACAAACACAGAACUCAGUUCCUGAGGACGGCUGCAAUGAGACAACCCACCAUGUACUCCUACAUGGCCUCUCACCGCUACCUUUACCAAAUCGUGUUCACACGCUUAGCUCACACACCGUAGGACAUGUUCACACACCUCUGAUUCAUCCCGGAUGAAUCAGACCUGACUCGACUCUAAGCAGUAGCAGGCAUGACAAACAAGCAUGAAUGAGUAGGCACAACAGGGCUCAAACAACUCCUACUCAUGCUAGUGGGUUUCAUCUAUUUACUGUGGCAAUGACAGGUCAUGCAAAGGAUAAAGGGGUUCAACUACCGCAGCAAGUAACAGAUGAAUCGGUGUUGUCCUAAUGCAGUAAAAGAGAGCAGGAGCGAGAGAGUGGGAUUUUCUCAGAAUGAACAAGGGGGUUUUGCUUGCCUGGCACUUCUGAAGAUCACAUUGAGUCUUCAUCAGUGUCAACGAUCACAACGUCGGAACAUCCUCUACCGGGAGGGAACAGAUACCGACAACAAAGAAGAAAUACAAUCAAUGCAAUGCACAAUAUGAUGCAUGCUCAUGACAUGGCAAUAUGAAUGUGUUUUGAGCUAAUGCAACUAGCAACAGAUUAAAUGAAGUUGGUUUGAAUAUAAGAUUCAAAUUCAAACUCCAUAUGUGAUUAUUCAGAUGCCAUUUAUAUGAUUUGUGCUAAACAGCACCUAUAAGUUGUUCUAACAUGCAUGAAAAUAGUACAGAUGGAUAGAUUGGAUUUUUCUGGUCAUUUUUCAUAUAUAAUUUAUCUCAUUUGGAGUUACGGUUGAAUUUCUAUGAUUUUUAGAAGUUUUUAGGCAUUUUCUGGAAUUUCCUGAAUAAGAACAAAUCCAGAAAACAUUACUGCGUCAUCCUGACAUCAUGAUGACGUCAGCAGGUCAACGUGGCACAGUCCGGUCAAACUCUGACCGGUGGGUCCCGAGUGUCAGUGUCUAACUAAACUAACCUAGCUUAGUUAAUACUAACCUAACUUAAUUAGCCGGGUGGGGCCCGCAUGUCAGUGAGAGAGAGGGGGGUCAAACCCGGGUCAAACUCGCCGGAGUUGACCCGAGGCUCAUCGCCGGCGAGGCCAGGGACGGCGGAGAGCGUCGGGAUUCGCCCUCCGAUGACCAAAAGAGCGGCGGAGGGGCUCUACGGGAUGCCCAGGCUCGCGCGCAUCUAACAGGGCCAACGGGAGAAGCUAGGGUGGCCGGAGGCGACGGCAAUCAUGACGACGGCGGGGGCCGGAGUUCGGGUGGUGGCGGGUUUGGCGCUACGAGCGGUGGUUUGGCGCGCUGAGGGCACUAGGGAGAAGCUCUUGCUCUCGCGCAUCCAGAGGACCAAGUGGGAGGUCGUGGGGUCGCCGGAACUCAUGCCGGCGACGAGCUUUGGCGGCGAUGGUGUUCGGUGGUGCUCGGGCGCGUCGCUACGGUGCAUCAGUGAGCAAAUGGAGAGGCUGGGCAGCACCUGCUAGACAUGGGGAGCACUAAGAGCAGCACAGUGAGGCCAGGGGAGCACGGAGGCUAUGCGUGCAGCAGCAAUGGCGGACGGUGGCUUCGAUGCUCGUGGGGAACGGCGCUACGGUGCACAAGAGGGGAAACGGAAGGGCGCUGCGGCCUCCUGGGGUUGCGGUGAGCACGACGGUGGGCUCGGGAGCGAGCUGCGGUGGCUGUGGCCACGGCCACGCCAUGGCCGGCGGCGAGAAGCUCUCGGCUGCGGUGGAUAACCUAGCUACGGCGCGCGAACGACGAAAUAGAGAGGGGGAAACGGACGGAGAGCUCACGUAGACCCUGUAGAGGUGGACGGCGAGCUUGAGGGAGGCCGGACGAGGGCGGAUUUGACGGCGGCGAUCCGCGGUGGCCGAGGAGGGGAACGGCGAAGCUGGUAGCAUCCAGGGCUUCCGGAGGGCCGUGGAUCGGUGGGGAGGAAGAGGGGGUCGAGGCGGAGCCUUUGAGCGCAUCGGCGAGGCUAGGGGGUGGCGGUGGCCGCGAGGGAGCUCGUCGGUGGCGGCGGCUCCGUUCGGCGAGUGAGGGAGAGAGGAAGCAGAGGAGGGGGGGAGAGUUCGGGAGAGUGAGGGAGUUCCAGGGGGUGGCGUGGCACGCAUGGAGGCGUCCGGGGUGUCGAGGUGGAGCGGCAAGCAGGAGGUGGCCGGGGCGUGCGCCGGCGUGCGUCGGCCAUGCGCCUGUGCCUACUGGCGCGAGGAGGAAGGCGACAGGGGGGGAAGUGGAGAUGGGCUGGGCCGUGCUGCUGGGCUAGGUGGGCUACCAGGUGAGCGCCAGGUAGUCCUUCUCUCUCUUUCCAUUUCUGUUUUUAUUUAUCUAUUUUGUUCUGUGUUGUUUUAGUUUAGUAAAAUACUAAACCAUUUUAUAAAAUCCUGAAAAUAGUUAUGUGGCUAGAGUUAAAAUAUACCAAACCACAUAAAAUGUUCCAGUAAUUAUUGGACAUAUAUUAUUUAUAUAUCAAAUAUAUAUCCAAUGCAAAUAGAUAUUUAUUUAAUUCAAAGGCCCAAAAUAAUUAACUCUGAGAUACCAAAAAUAUUGUUUUGAGUUUUACCUCUUUGCAAUAUUUUCAGAGACUAAGAGGAACAUUUUCUUGGACUUCUUUGAGGAGAUUUUAAUGUUGAUCAUUUUUAGAAGGUUUCUGAGGCUUUGAAAAUUCCUCAAUUCAAAUUUCAUUUGAAUUAAAACAUGAUGCUCACCUGAGGUCUAGCCUAGUGCAUAACAGGACCAGGGAUGUGACACCCCCAGGGUUACAAUGGUAAUCCGGCUGAGCGUGGGUCCCAGCCGUCUGUCUCUCAGGUCGCUGUCUUCUCCGCCGACUGCUGGGGCCCGCCGACUGGUGGGCCCUGCCGGCUACGGACUACUGUAGCCAUGCUACUGGUGACGCCUGCUUGGUCAUGGGGUCGUGGCAACAGUGCCACCGUCUGACGGGCGAUCACUGUCGCCAUUCCCCGUCCUGUCUGGUUAUGUGGGAGGAGCCGGCCGACACUGGUGGGCCGACACCGGACGGGUCCGUCUUGCGGUGCUCUCGCCGUCUUCGGUACCCCCGCUGACGGGUGGGUCCCGCCGUCUCUGGACAGUACAGUCAGGCCGUCGUGGGCAUAGUGCGCCGCCCACGGGGGCUGAGGUCAGGGCAGGCAUGGCAACAGUGCCGCGUCGGACGGAGAUCUCCAUCGAUACGACGCACUGUAGCCAUGCCAGUCCUUCGUAAGCCGGGCAGGGAUGGCCAGGCGGCGACCGUACCCCGUCCUGUCCGUCUUGCCGAAGGCUGGAAGUGGUUGGAGUCGCGGGCCGACUCCCCAUAGCCGGCUUCUUUGGAAGCCGUCAAUAGGAGUCAGUCCUUCUUGGAGUUGUCGCCGGGACCAAGCCGAGAAGGGGUAGUCGGCGGCCCUGUCGCCGACUCCCUGAAGGCGGCUCCUCGUCGUGGGGUUUUGAGGGGCGCAGCCUGCCCCGAUGUCUUGAAAGGUUCUGGGGCUCGGGUUAGCCUACCCGUGGCCCAUUACUCCGACAGUAGUCCGCGAAGCUGGUAAGGCGCCGAGGGCGACAUGUCGAGGAGGCUCAAUAGUUUCAUCCUUCCGGUAGCGGAAUCUGGAUCUUGUUUGCCGUCUUCCCUUGGCCGACUAGCUGGAGUCGGAUUUGCAGAAGAUCGCGGCGGGGUCCGGGCAGCGUGCCUGAUAAGCUUCCGGGCAGCUGCCCAUUGCGGGUCCGUCGCGUGGAGCCACGUGGCGGGGUCAGUCUGCCCACCCACGCGCGCGACGGGACAGGACGUCAGGCGGGGCCCGCCACUACCGCGCCUCGGCAUGAGAACGGAUCGACUGUGGCCGAGCGGGCGGUUGGGAUUCCCACGUCGUAACUGCGCGUAGUUACUUCGUGUGGUAGAUCGUGGGGGCGUGGGGUCCUAGGCACAGUUAAUCCCACGCCUGCCCCAUCGGCUUCUUAGCCCACAAGGCUAUAAGUAGGCGGGAGGAGGGGGGCGGCGGAGCACGCGCGCCCAUUUCCCCUACUCCCCCUGCUUUCCUCUUGCUUCUUCUUCCUUUCGCCACCGCCGUGCCGAACCACGCCACGCCUGCGGCGAUGAGCUCUUCCUCUGCUGCCGCACCUGCUACCGUGCGCUCCGGCAUGUGGGACGGCUCCGAGGUGGACGACGACAUCAUCGAGUUCCUCCGUAAGACGCGUCGCCUCCCCGGCGCGGACCUAGUGCGAGCCCGCACCGCGCCGGAGAGGGAGAUAGUGCCUGCGCCGGAGGAGGGCGAGCGGGUCAUAUUCCGCUCGCACCUCAUGCGCGGCCUGGGGCUGCCAGCGAGCAGCUUCUUCCACUCCUUCUUGGAGUUCCACAGGCUUUAGCCGCACCACCUCACCCCGAACACAGUGGUACUGCUGGCUGCCUUCGCCACCCUGUGCGAAGGCUUCCUCGGUGUUCUCCCCACAAUCGAACUGUGCGGAGAGUUCUUUCAGUCGAAGCUCGGCAUGCACGUUGCUGGCGUGCCGGACCAGUGCGGCGCCUUCAUCGCGAUGCGGAGGUCGGUGGCCGACAAUCCAUUUCCCGCCAUCCCGCUGAUCAAGUCGGUGAAGAUGUGGCAGCGUUCUUACUUCUAUGUGAAGAACGUCGCUGCAGACGGCGACUGGGUCAAUCUGCCGCCUUUCGAAGCCGGCACGCCGGCUGGGAGGCUCCCCAACUGGUCCCACCGGGUCAAGACGCUGACUCCUGCUGGUGCCGCCGCCGUCGCACGACUCCGAGUUCUGACGCAGUCGGAGGGUUUGACCGGGUCCGACUUGAUGGCCGCCUUCGUGGCGCGCCGAGUCCUCCCGCUCCAAGGCCAACCUCAUCUGAUCUAUCAGAUGAGCGGCCACCAGGAUCCGAGUCGGCUCUGCUCCAAGGACAUGCCCCACACGGAGGUGGCGGACACGGUGAACUAUGUCUCAAACUGCAAUCUCACGGCGACUUGGCAGUUCGGCAAGGAGCCGUACUCACGCGCCAACCCCCCGCCUGUCAUAAUUCGUCUUUCUUCUUCCUUUGUCUUCUUUGCGGCCGAAUCCGACUUCUAAUCUUUUUGGUUUUUCUUGAGUCAGAACCCCCUCAUCUAGCCCUCAGCCGGCACCACGGGCUUGGCCCGCCAGUUUGUCCCCAAUCGAGCGGAGAGUGAUAUCAACGACCCGGACUUGGGGGCCGCGGCGAUGGAGGCCGAUGCCGAAGGAGGAGGAAGAGGAGGAGGAGGAGGCUUCAGGCCCUCACCCACUUUUGCCGACUGGCCUGAUGACGACGCCGAAGGGGAAGCCGCCCCACGCCACCAAUCAAGGGCCGGCCAACCGAGCGCGAGUUCCGCCGCCGGCUUGGGUGGUCAAGGCGGCGCGAAGAGGCGCCAGGGCGGGCCGAGCUUUCUUGGCGGCCGGCCGAAGAAGCUCAAGGGGGCGGCCGCCGCGACCCAGAGGGAAGAGGCGAUCGCGAAGGCCAACCGCUUUCGCAAGGAAGUGAAGAAGCCGCCACUGGUCUCCGCGUAAGUGCCUCCGCUCUUGACUUGUUUUGCUCUUGGUGGAUCUUCGUCCAAAUUUUUUACAUGCUUUCCUCGCCUCAGGGCUCCCCUCACCUUCGAGAGGGUCACCGCCACCUCCGUCACGGGGUCGGCAGAGACUUACGCCACUACUCGGCGGAUUGAUCCCGCCGCCGACCUUCGGGACGAGACGGAGCGGAACGCGCGGGAGAAGCGUGAUGAGGACGAAGCCGCCCGUCUGGAGAAGGAGGAGGCCGAGAAGGUGGCUGCCUCCGCCCAGAGGAAGCUGGACGAGGCCGAAGCCACCAUGGAGGCAAGGCGGCGAGCUGAGGAGGCCGCGCUCCUCCAGUCGGCAUUGCUCGUCAUCCCGCUGAACUCCGAGCAGCCGCCCCUGGAGUUCACGGGGCAGACUGGGGAAGCCGGCGGCGAGAACCCCAUCAUGGAGAGGGAGAGCGGCGAUGCCUUCAUGUCGGACACGAUCGUGCCUCCACCGCCGCCUCCGCCACCGUCUGGGGGUGCGCAAGGUAAAUAGCAGGCAGGCCCGCCGGUGCCGCCGACUGAGGACGAGUCCGUGGCGAAGCUGCUCCUUCAGGUUGCCUCGCCAGCGCGUCGCCGUCUUGAGAAGGCAACUUCAGCACCAUGGCCUUUGGAGACCGGCACCACCAGCUCGGCCAUCCCAGACGCUGAGGCGAAGAGCGCCGCGCCCGUUGGGUGGGUGCGAGGAGGCGGCACGGGCCCGCUGAACCAGGCGCUUCUGAACGUUCAAGCAAAGCCGCGGGCCGAGGGCGACGCCAUCGAGAGCUGCACCAAGGCGCAUCUGGCGUCGCGAGUAGCCGUCCGGGUAUGCUUCAUUUUUGACUUUGCUUUUCCUUGUUCUUCUCUAUGGGGGCGCGCCAGCGCACCCACUUGGUGUAGUCCCCAAGUUUCGGGCCGGCUGCUGAGCAGGCGGCUCGGAACUCCUUCUGGCGAGUUCCGGUACUCAUCUGAGUCUAAAAUUCUUAUUGUAGGAGUAUCACAAGCUCCGCGUCACUGCCUUCAACCGCAAUGUUGAGGAGCUUGUCAAGCGGACUGCCGACUUGUCGGAGAGCCGGAGUGAGUCUUCCUUCUUCUUCACGGGGGCGCGCUGGCGCACCCGCGGGCUGUAGUUCCCGAGAUUCGGACCGACUGCUGAGCAGUCGGGCCGGAUCUUCUCAGCGACUUUCUUUGUUGACGACUUAACGUCUUUCUAUUUUAUUCUUCAGAGGCCAACACCACUCUUCAACAGCAGCUGGGCGAGGCCAACACCGCCUGGCGCGCCAAGGUGGAGGAGUGCAGCAAGCUCGCCGCGGAGCGUGACCUGCUGGCCGCGCAGCUGGCGGAGCAAAAGGAGCUGCUCAAGAAGGCGCAGGAGGAGGCAGAGAGAAAAGAGGCUGCUCUCCUGGCCGAGUUCGAAAGCGAGCGCUCCUCCUGGACUAACAAGGAGGUGAAGCUGACUUCCGGCUUCCAUGAGAUUGAGGACAUCGUCGACGGUGAGUCUCUUUACUUUCUUUGAGCCGCGACUAUGGGUCGGGCUGACUCCUGAUUUUCUAACUUACUUCUUUUUUGUCUUGGCAGACUUCUUCCCGGCCACUCGCAGGCGGCCACUCAGGCCAUCUAGGCUGAUCGCGAGGCGCGGAGGGCAAGCAGCACGGAGAUUGCCGCCAACGCCCCCCGAACCCUCGAUGAGCAGCUUCUGAGCAUCGAGGCUCGUCUGCGGCCGGCCCAUCGGACGCUGCGCCGGCUUCAACAUGCCGGCGCCCAGGCGAUUGCUGCCCUGUGGCCAGACAUGCCGGUUCUGCGCAAUGCCAGUCGGACUAGAGGUCACAGCUGGUCGUCUUGAGGCUUGAAAGGGUUCCUCGGCCCGGGCUGGAGCGCGCCGGGCCUUGGAAUUCGUCAAGGCGUGGUAUCCAGGGCUGGACCUGGACCGGCUGGCCGCGUUCCGGUCAGAGGCCCAGGCGGAGCUGAUAGCCGUGGAAGACGCCCUCGUCACGCGUGCAGUGGCGAUCGCCGACUACGUGGACACCAACAUCUUCGUCCCUGAUCGGGCUGAAGACGGCGAGGAGGCGCCGCCAGAGUGGUUCGGGAUGAACCCAACUUAUGAUGAGGACUCGGCGGAGGUGAUUGCUUCCAGCACCGAGGAGGAGGGUGAGGCGGAGGACAGAGGCGAGACGGAGGCGCUAGAAGAUGGAACGGGCAACCAGCCUCAGCUCGAUCGCGCCUCCAUCAACGAGCCGUGUCCGGAGAAGGCGGCUGCCGCCGGAGAGGAUCAAGCCGAGACUGCCCAGCCGGCCGCCCAGGCGCCUGACACCGCCGUCUCCUCCGACCCUAUAAAUCCGGAUGCCGCCUCCUAGGCUGCCGUCUUGCCUCCAUUUUAUCUGCCUUAGUAGUCUUUGAAGAACUUUGUUAAUUCGAACAAUUCCACCCGUGGGGUGUAUUUUGAACUUCUAGUUGAAGAUUUGGCCAGGGGCCUAUGUUAUGUAAAUAUUUAUCCGAAUUCUAUCUUUCCUUGCUGAUUGCUCUUUUGGCUUUUUCCUUUGCCGCCUUCCCUUAGUCGUCGCCUUGUCAGUCGGACAACCUCUCUGCGGACUGCCACUGGAUCAAACGCUUGGCUACUUUGGGAAGGCAAGUACUUGGCCAUUUUUAGAGUCUUUUUAACAAGUCGGAUAGAAAGCGGCAAGCCGACUACUCACGAGUCGGUUUUGCUUAAGAGAAGCUAGAAGAAAGCGGCAAGCCAACUACUCAUGAGUCGGCUUUGCUUGAGAGAGGCUAGAAGAAAGCGGCAAGCCGACUACUCAUGGGUCGGCUUUUCUUGAGAGAGGCUGGAAGCCGUCUUAGGCUAUGUUUGUGCUUUGAGUCCUUAGCCAUUUUUUGUGUGGGCGCCCGUUCUUCCUUACUCCUGCCUACCAAACAGUCGCUUUGCGAGCUACGGCUUCUGACAGGAGACGGCUUAGGCGCCACACACUACUUGUCCGACUGCAGGAAGCAUUUCAUAGCGCGAGGCGGCGAGUCCCCGGGCCGACUAGUCGAGCCCGGUGCCAAGCGGCAUGACGAAGAGUAGUAAACUCGAAGGCAUAAUUCUUAUCAUACAGAUAACAAAAAGGGCAGUCCCCGAGCUCGUCUCGGGGGGGCCGAAGUCUUGGUAUUUUAAUACAAAGGGUAGUGUGAUACAUACUGCAUCAACUGUAAAAUCUUCGGAGGAGAUUUGCAUUCCAUGGGCGUUCCGUCUCUUUGCCGGAGUCAUCCCUCUUGCGUGCUCGGGGCUUCUGAGCGACAAUCAGGUAGUAGGAGUCAUUGCCCAACACUUUGCUGAUGAUGAAGGGGCCUUCCCAAGGCGCCGACAGCUUGUGCUGACCAGCUGUUCGCUGGAUCAGUCGGAGCACAAGGUCGCCCUCUUGGAAAGAUCUCGGCCUGACCUUCCUGUUGUAGUAUCGGCGCAGGCUCUGCUGGUAGAUGCUGGACCGGCUGAGAGCCAACAGCUGGCCCUCUUCUAGCAGAUCGACACCGUCUUGACGUGCUUCUUCUGCUUCCUCUUCGGUGUACAUGGUGACUCGCGGGGAGUCAAACUCUAUGUCCGUCGGGAUGACGGCUUCAGCACCGUAGACGAGGAAGAAAGGUGUGAAGCCGGUUGAAUUGUUUGGAGUCGUGCGCAGACUCCAGAGGACGGCUGGCAACUCGUCAAGCCAACAGUCGGCCGAACGCUCUAGUGGUUCAACAAGUCGAGGCUUGAUGCCGGACAGGAUGAGACCGUUUGCUCGCUCUACCUGGCUGUUUGACUGCGGGUGGGCAACGGACGCUAAGUCCAGUCGGAUGCCCUGUGUCGCGCAGAAACGGGCCAAGGCGCCUUUGGCAAAGUUUGUGCCAUUGUCGAUGAUGAUGUUGUGUGGUAUGCCAUACAGAGUCAUGAUGUCGGCGAUGAAUGUCACUGCAGUCGGACCAUUCAACUUCUUGAUGGGCUUUACUUCUAUCCACUUGAUGAACUUGUCCACCUCGACAAGUAAGUGAGUUAGGCCGCCUCAGGCUGUUUUGUAUGGUCCCACCAUAUCCAGGCCCCAAACCGCAAAGGGCCAGGCGAUGGGGAUAGUCUUGAGUGUUGAAGCCGGCUGAUGUGGCUUGGAGCGGAACUUCUGGCACCCUUUGCACUUUUGAACCAAUUCUUUGGCCUCUUCUAGGGCAGUCGGCCAGAAGAAACCGUGUCGAAAGGCUUUGGUGACGAGUGCUCUUGAAGCCGCAUGGUGGCCACACUCGCCUUGAUGGAUGUCUUUGAGGAUUGCUUGGCCUUGCUCUGGCUCGACGCAACACUGGUAGACACCAGUGACGCUGCACCUGACCAACUCUCUGUUGACUAUGGUGUAGGCUGCCGCUCGGUGUUGCACUUGCCGAGACGAGAUUUCAUCAGUUGGCAGCUCUUUGCUUACUAGGAACUUGAGGAUGGACUAGGACCAUGAGGGUGCUGAUAUCUCUUUGACUGCCAGUACUGCGACUUGGACGAGGGUGGCUGGGCUGGGACGCGGCGGGUUGGAGUCCGCAGCCGCUUGCUGGGUUGAUGAAGUCCCCGGGCCGAUUGGCGCAGUCCCCGAGCCGAGUUCUGGAGUCUUCGGACUAGUCGCCGCAGUCCCCGGGCCGGGUUCUGAAGUCCCCGUGCCGGCUUCGACUGCGACGCUCUUGGAGUCAUCUAUAAGAAUUCUCGUUCCGCCUGCUGGGGCCCUUGAGUCGGAUCCGACUUCUUCGGGGGGAGCCGGCAGAAAGAUGGAGUCCGAUUCUGGUGAAGGCUUGAUAGACGGCUUGAGGAGGCGCCGAAGGGCGACGCCAGAUGGUAUCGCUUGGCGGGUGGAUCCGAUUCGUGCCAGAGCGUCUGCUUGGUCAUUGUCAUUUCUUGGCACGUGAAGGAACUCGCACCCCUCAAAAUAUCCGCUGAGUUGCUGCACAAGGAAGCGGUAGCUCGCCACGUUUGCAUCCUUGGCGUCCCAGUCGCCAGAUGAUUGCUGGACCACCAAGUCGGAGUCGCCGAAACACAGGAUCCGGCGAAUGCCGAGCUCUUUGGCAAGCUGGAGCCCGUGAAUGAGCGCCUCGUAUUCAGCGACGUUAUUGGAGGUGGCAAAAUGGAUUUGCAGCACAUAUCUGAGCUUGUCGCCUUUAGGGGAAGUGAAGACAAUGCCGGCUCCCAAGCCAGUGCGCAUCCUGGAGCCGUCGAAAUGCAUCCGCCAAUGGGUGGAGUCGGGCGCUGGCGGCAGGUACUGGGUCUCGGCCCAGUCGACGAGGAAGUUGGCCAGCGCUUGUGACUUGAUGGCGGUGCGGGGCUAGUAGUAGAUGGUGUAGGGAGCCAGCUCAAUGGCCCAUUUGGCCACUCGGCCUGAAGCAUCUCGGAUUCCGAUGAUCUCGGCUAGGGGGGUUGUGCAAACCACAGUGAUUGGAUGCUCCUGAAAGUAAGGCUUCAACUUCUUAGCGGCAAAGUGCACGCCAUAGCACAUCUUCUGGUAGUGGGGGUAGUUCUGCUUGGAGGUCGACAGCACUUCGCUCAGGUAAUAUACCGGUCUUUGGACAGGUAGCGCCUUGCCUUCCUCCCUGCGUUCGACUAUAAUGACUGUGCUGACUACCCGGCUAGUGGCGGCGAUGUACAGGAGCAUGGGCUCUUUGGGAGUCUGGGCCGCCAGCACGGGGGGCGUAGUCAACAUUUUCAUCAGUUGGAGAAAAUCUUCAUCCGCCUUGGGAGUCCACACGAAAAAGGUCGUCUUCUUCAUGAGCUGAUAUAAGGGGAGAGCCUUCUCGCCCAGCCGACUGAUGAAUCGGCUGAUGGACGCCAAAUAGCCGGUGAACUUCUGCACAUCCAGCAGUCGGCUGGGUACCUCCAUCCUCUCGAUGGCCUUGAUCUUCACAGGGUUGCACUCUAUGCCGCGUUCAGAGACCAGGAAGCCAAGGAGUUGGCCGGCUGGUACUCCGAAGACGCACUUCUCAGGGUUGAGCUUGAUCUGGAAUCGGCGCAGAUUCUCAAAGGUUUCCUUGAGGUCUUCCAGCAGUGUUCCACGCUUCUCCGUCUUCACCACCCCAUCAUCUAUGUAGACGUGGGCGUUUCUGCCGAGUUGCUUGAGGAGGCACUUCUGCAUGCAACGCUGAAAGGUGGCGCCGGCAUUCCUCAAGCCGAACGUCAUGGUCAGGUAGCAGAAGGCACCAAACGGCGUGAUGAAGGCGGUCUUCAGUCUGUCAGCCGGGUUCAGCUUGAUCUGGUGAUAUCCCGAAUAUGCAUCUAAGAAGCUCAACAACUCGCAUCCGGCUGUGGAGUCUAUCACCUGAUCAAUUCUUGGCAGAGCGAAUGGGUCCUUGGGGCAGGCUUUGUUGAGGCUUGUGUAGUCGAUACACAUCCGCCACUGCUUGUUCUUCUUCAGUACCAAGACCGGGUUUGCUAGCCACUCCGGGAAGAAGACUUCCAUAAUGAAGCCGGCCGCUAGGAGUCGAGCUAUCUCUUCUCCAACAACUCUUCUCUUCUCUUCUCUUCUGACAGGCGGCGCAUGGGCUGCCUGACGGGCUUCACAUCAGACUGGACAUGUAACUUGUGCUCGGCGAAUUCCGUCGGUACACCUGGCAUGUCUUUAGGGGACCAUGCGAAGAUGUCUUGAAUCUCACGGAGGAAAUCGAUGAGCUCGCCUUCCUAUUUGCUGUCAAGGUUUGCACCUAUGGCAGCGUACCUCUCUGGGUGCUCCAGGUCCAAGGGUAUCUUCUUUGUUUCUUUGGCCAGCUUGAACGAGCCUUCGACUUCCGACUCCUUAGGGUGGGGCGACAACUCGGGCUGCUUGCCAGCCAUCGCCACAACCCGAUCGAGAAGCCGCUUCUCAGCUGCGAUCACCAAGGACUCGGCUAGCCGACUGAUCUUGGCCGCGCAAGCGGACGACUUUCUGUAGUCGCCGGCUAUGGUCAGAAUCCCCUUGGAACUCCGCAUCUUCAUCUUGAGGUAGGCGUAGUGGGGGACCGCCAUGAACUUGGCCAAUGCAGGUCGGCCAAGCAACACAUGGUACGGACUUUCGAGGUCCACCACCUCAAACCACACUGGCUCUCGGCGGAAAUGAUCUUUGUCUCCGAAGAGGACAUCUAUCAGGAUUUUGCCGAUUGGCAAGCAGGAAAGGCCCGGAAUAAUGCCGUGGAACACAGUCCGGCUGCUCCGAAGUUGUCUUUGCUUGAUUCCUAGCUUCUCCAUGGUAUCCUUGUACAGGAUGUUGAUGCUACUGCCUCCGUCUAUCAGCACUCGUGAGAAACGAGCGGCCCGCCUGUCUGUGGCAAAGGUGGCGCCUAAGACCAGGGCGUAGGAGCCCGGAUUUGGCAUCACCUCUGGGUGAUCAGCUCUGCUCCAACUGAUAGGCUUCUCAGACCAGUGCAUGAACUCGGGAGUAUUUGAUGCUACUGCAUUCACCUCUUGCUGCUGCAGCUGCUUGCUGCGUCGAUCAUCAGCCACACUGGUGAACACCAUGUAGGCUCCGUGCUCUUCUGGGUACUCCUCUUGUAUUGCGCCGACUGGCCUAGCAGCCGGCUGCUGGGGCGGUGGUGGAGGCGGCGGCCCAGCAGGUGGGGGAGGCAGAAGGCCGUCUCCCUUGGCGAUUCUGGUGAGCCAGUGACAUUUCCAGGUGGUGUGAUUCGACGGCUUCGCGCCGCUGUGGAACUUGCAGGGGCCAUCUAGAGUCUGCUCGUAGGAGAAGGCCGGCAACCAUUUGGAUUUGCCGCCUUUCGGUCGCUUGGCUGAAGGCUGCCCCUCCGGCUGUUGGGCUUCGACUGUCGCCACUUGCCGGCUGCUGGAAGCCGGCUGGGGGACUUUGCGCUUGUGAUCAUUUUGCUGUUGUCGCCGACUGGAGUCCCCAGCCGGAGUUCUGGGAGCCCGAGGGGCUACUUUGCCAGUCGCACUAACUUGAAUCUCCGCCUUCAUGGAGGAGUCGGCUGUGGCAUACUUGUCUGCUGUGAUCAGCAGCUCGUCGAGAGUCUCCGGCACGUCGCAGAGGAGCUUGUGCUUGAGGAGGGUGCCUUCUCUGCACCCGGCAGUAAAGUACUCGAUAGCCGUCACCUCGUGCAUGCCCUCGCAAGAGUUCCUAAGCUCGGCCCAGCGCGUGAGGUAGUCGCGAGUGGACUCGUCGGGGCCUUGCACACACAAGGAGAGUUGCCGUGGCUUGGGAGGUCGCUUGUACGUGCUCGUGAAGUUGCGGACGAAGGCCUCGGUGAAGUCGACCCAGCUGUUGAUGCUGCGGGGCUUCAGGCUGUUCAACCAUGUCUGGGCCGCGCCCUGGAGCAUGAGUGGAACAUACCUUACGGCAACUCGCUUGUUGCCGUUCGCUAUAUUAACGGCCGUGGAGUAAUCAAUCAGCGAGUCCUUCGGCUUCACGGUGCCGGUGUACUUGGGCGUGUCUCGGGGGAGCGUGAACCCUUUGGGAAAGGGCUCGUCUCAGAUGCGGGGUCCGAAACAGGGAGGACCCAACUCGUCUUCUUCUUCCAGCGCCAGGGAUCGGUGGAGUUGGUCGAUCCGGUGGCGGGCGUCAUUUUCUCCGACGCCCUCUCGGCGGCCAAGGCGGUCGCUGAGAGUCAGAUGCCCAACAGGCGGAGGGGAGACUCGCCUUUCUCUGCGAGGAGGAGGAGGCAGAUAGUCAUCUCGCUGCUCUACUGGUUUGGGGCGGCUGUCUUUGUCGCGCUCGAUGGUGAUGCGAGUCCGACUGUGGCUGACGGCCGGCUCCUUGUCCUUCUUUCCGUGGACUCCGUCAGUCGGCGUCCAAGACGUCGCGCCUUGAUCUCGGCGGGGUGGUAGGUUGUUGUUUUGUCGGCGCGGCGCCUCCGUGCGGCAGCCGGCUUCAUUCUGCGCGGCAGCCGCGUCGAGGAGCUGCUGAACACCCUCAAAGUUGUCUAGCUCGUUCGGCGCCGCCUGGGUGGCGCGGAUGUUCUCCGCAGGCGUGGCGAACACAGGGCGAUCGGCCCCAAACAGUUUGGCGAUGGUCACGCCGCGUUGCCGGACCUCGCCUAGGCGGCUAGGCCCAGUCGGAGACGGCGAGCCGCCCUCAGCGCGAUCCAUCUCAUGCUGGUAUGCUUCUGACAAGCGCCUCAUGCUCGCCAGCUUCUUUGCGCCUUCGACGAGCUGAAGGUGGCGCGCCUCCAGCGUCUCGGCGUCAGCGUCUCCCGGAAUCGACGCGGAUAGAUCUCGCAGAGCCGCGUCGAGCGGGUCUUGGGUGCCCUCAUCGGAACGCUCGCCAUGAUCAAGGACGAGAACCUCUGUGACGGUGCUUCCGCCGCUCUCAGUGUGAGGGAGCGGCUCGUCGAAGACCACCGCAUUGGUGGGGAACUCGUCAAGCGACGCAGUGUCGGAGUCGACCAGCAUCGGGUCGGUGGAGCCUAUGGACUCCAGGUCUACGGCAGGCUCGCCGGUGACGUGGAGUUGGUCGAGGAGGCCCGCGAGGAGGCUCUCGGGGCCGCUCGUGCCUGCAUCGGAUGCAGGCUCGUCGGAGAGGCGAACCUCGCCGACAAGUUCGGCGAGGCCGCUGGCCGAGCAGGCGAUCUCAGCGCCAUGCAGCGCGUCGGCGCAAACUCCAUCUGGCGUGUCGGGCUGGCUGCGUUCGCUAGGGAGGAAAAGGGUUCCCGUCCAGAGCAGGUCUCCGGACGGCGGUGCACCUCGCCCCACGGUGGGCGCCAAAUGUCGGGGGUUGGGUACGACAUAUGCCAAGGGAUGGCUUAUCAUGGUGGGGGCGAGUAGAACAUCGCCGGUUCCUGUAAGCGGGAUGAGGCGAAGGCAUGCACGCCGGCGAAUCUUACCCAGCUUCAGGGCUCUCCAUGGAGAUACCACCCCUACUGCUACUCUGCGGGGUCUCCACAUGAUCACUAUGGCAAAGUGAGUACAAGGUUGCUCCUAGAGUUGUUUCCUGGAGGUAGGAGAAGGCAAGGCUAGCUUCCUCCUUCCUAUAUGGUCUGGUCUAAUGCUAAUGGGGCGAUCAUGUUGCAUGGGUGCCCUGGGGGGCAUAUAUAGGCCUGCCCCCCAGGGUUACAAUGGUAAUCCGGCUGAGCGUGGGUCCCAGCCGUCUGUCUCUCAGGUCGCCGUCUUCUCCGCCGACUGGUGGGCCCCGCCGGCUACGGACUACUGUAGCCAUGCUACUGGUGACGCCGGCUUGGUCAUGGGGUCGUGGCAACAGUGCCGCCGUCUGACGGACGAUCACUGUCGCCAUUCCCCGUCUUGUCUGGUUAAUGGCGUGCGGGGCCCGUGGGAGGAGCCGGCCAACUCUGGUGGGCCGACUCCCGACGGGUCCGUCUUGCGGUGCUCUCGCUGUCUUCGGUACCCCCGCUGACGGGUGGGUCCCGCCGUGUCUGGACAGUACAGUCAGGCCGUCGUGGGCACAGUGCGCCGCCCACAGGGGCUGAGGUCAGGGCAGGCAUGGCAACAGUGUCGCGCCGGACGGAGAUCUCCAUCGAUACGGCGCACUGUAGCCAUGCCAGCCCUUCGUAAGCCGGGCAGGGAUGGCCAGGCGGCGGCCGUACCUCGUCCCGCCCGUCGUGGCGAAGGCUGGAAGUGGUUGGAGUCACGGGCCGACUCCCCAUAGCCGGCUUCUCUGGAAGCCAUCAAUAUAUAGGAAUCGGUCCUUCUUGGAGUCGUCGCCGGGACCAAGCCGAGAAGGGGUAGUCGGCGGCCCUGUCGCCGACUCCCUGAAGGCGGCUCCUCGUCAUGGGGUUUUGAGGGGCGCAGCCUGCCCCGAUGUCUUGAAAGGUUCUGGGGCUCGGGUUAGCCUACCCAUGGCCCAUUACUCCGACAUUCGACCUUUUGGUCUCUUGUGUUCCGAGGCCAUGUCUGUACGUGCUAGGCUCGUCAAGUCAACCUAAGUGUUUUGCAUGUGUAAAUCUGGCUUACACCCGUUGUAUGCGAACGUUAGAAUCUAUCACACCCAAUCAUCACGUGGUGCUUCGAAACAACAAACUUUUGUAAUGGUGCACAGUUAGGGGGAACACGUUCUUGAAAUUUUAGUGAGGGAUCAUAUUAUUUAUGCUACCGUCGUUCUAAGGAAAUAAGAUGUAAACAUGACAGACAUCACAUGCAAAUCAUAAAGUGACAUGAUAUGGACAAUAUCAUCUUGCGCCUUUGAUCUCCAUCUUUGAGGCGCGGCAUGAUCACCUUCAUCACCGGCAUGACACCAUGAUCUCCAUCAUCGUGUCUUCAUGAAGUUGUCUCGUCAUCUGUUACUUCUACUACUAUGGCUAACGGUUAGCACUAAAGUAAAGUAAUUACAUGGCGUUUUUCAAUGACACGCAGGUCAUACAAUAAAUUAAGACAACUCCUAUGGCUCCUGCCGGUUGUCAUAUUCAUCAACAUGCAAGCCGUGAUUCCUAUUACAAGAAAAUGAUCAAUCUCAUACAUAACAUAUAUCAUUCAUCACAUUCUUUUGGCCAUAUGACAUCACAUAGCAUACCCUGCAAAAACAAGUUAGACGUCCUCUAAUUGUUUGCAUGUUUUACGUGGCUGCUAUGGGUUUCUAGUAAGAACGUUUCUUACCUACGUAAAAGCCACAAUGGUGAUAUGCCAAUUGCUAUUUACCCUUCAUAAGGACCCUUUUCAUCGAAUCCGAUCUGACUAAAGUGGGAGAGACAGACACCCGCUAGCCACCUUAUGCAACAAGUGCAUGUGAGUCGGUGGAACCUGUCUCACGUAAGCGUAUGUGUAAGGUCGGUCCGGGCCGCUUCAUCCCACAAUGCCGCCAAAUCAAGAUAAGACUAGUAACUAUAAGCAUAUUGAAGAAACCAAUGCCCACAACUACUUGUGUUCUACUCGUUGAUAGAAUCUACGCAUAGACCUAGCUCAUGAUGCCACUGUUGGGGAACGUAGCAAUAAUUCAAAAUUUUCCAAAGUAUCACUAAGAUCAAUCUAGGAGAUUCAGCAACAAGAGAGAGAGAGGAUGUGCAUCUUCAUACCUUUGAAGAUCGCUAAGCGGAAGCAUUACUAGAAAGCGAAUGAUGGAGUCGUACUCACGGCGAUUCAAAUCACAGAAGAUCCGAUCUAACGCCAAACGGACGGCGCCUCUGUGUUCAAAACACGUACAACCCGGGGACGUCUCUCCUUCUUGAUCCAGCAAGGGGAGAGGAGAAGUUGAGGGAGAGCUCCGGCAGCACGACGGCGUGGUGGUGGAGCUUUUAGUUCUCCAGCAGGGCUUCGCCAAGCACUACGGAGGAGGAGGAGUGGUGUUGGAAAGGGGGAGGGCUGCGCCAGGGGAAGGGUGCGGCAGCCCUCCCACCACCCCUCUAUUUAUAGGGGCAAGGGAGAGGGGGGGCCUCCAGAUGGAUCUAGAGGGGGCGGCGGCCAAGGGGGGAGGCUUGCCCCCCAAGCAAAAAGGGGGGCGCCCCCUUUAGGGUUUCCCCCCAACCCUAGGCGCAUGGGACCUAGGGGUGUUUGGCGCCCAGCCCACUUAGGGGCUGGUUCCCCUCCAUAUUCAGCCCACAGGGUCCUCCGGGGCAGGUGGACCCUCCCGGUGGACCCCCAGAACCCUUUCGGUGGUCCCGAUACAAUACCGAUAAACCCCCGAACACUUCCGGCGACCGAAUAAGGACUUCCCAUAUAUAAAUCUUUAUCUCCGAACCAUUCUGGAACUCCUCUUGACGUCCGGGAUCUCAUACGGGACUCCAAACAACAUUCGGUAACCACAUACUAAUUCCCAUAACAACUCUAGCGUCACCGAAUCUUAAGUGUGUAGACCCUACAUGUUCAGGAAUCAUGCAGACAUGACCGAGACAUCUCUCCGGCCAAUAACCAACAGCGGGAUCUGGAUACCCAUGUUGGUUCCCAUAUGUUCCACGAUGAUCUCAUCGGAUCAACCACGAUGUCGGGGAUUCAAUCAAUCCCGUAUACAAUUCCCUCUGUCAACCGGUAUGUUAUUUGGCCGAGAUUCGAUCAUCGGUAUCCCAAUACCUCGUUCAAUCUCGUUACCGGCAAGUCUCUUUACUCAUUCCAUAAUGCAUGAUCCCAUGACUAACUCCUUAGUCACAUUGAGCUCAUUAUGAUGAUGCAUCACCGAGUGGGCCCAGAGAUACCUCUUCGUCAUACGGAGUGACAAAUCCCAGUCUCGAUUCGUGCCAACCCAACAGACACUUUCGGAGAUACCUGUAGUGUACCUUUAUAGCCACCAAGUUACGUUGCGACGUUUGGUACACCCAAAGCAUUCCUACGGUAUCUGGGAGUUGCACAAUCUCAUGGUCUAAGGAAAUGAUACUUGACAUUAGAAAAGCUCUUAGCAAACGAACUACAUGAUCUUGUUCUAUGCUUAGGAUUGGGUCUUGUCCAUCACAUCAUUCUCCUAAUGAUGUGAUCCCAUUAUCAACAACAUCCAACGUCCAUGGUCAGGAAACCAUAACCAUCUAUUGAUCAAUGAGCUAGUCAACUAGAGGCUCACUAGGUUCAUGUUGUGGUCUAUGUAUUGACACAUGUAUUAUGGUUUCCGGUUAAUACAAUUAUAGCAUGAAUAAUAGACAAUAUGCAUGAACAGCAAAAAAUAAUAAUAACCGUUUUAUUAUUGCCUCUAGGGCAUAUUUCCAACAGAGGGGGUGCGGCCCCCCUUUCCUUCUCCCUCUUCCUCUAGGACUAGGAGUCAAAGUGGGUUUCCCCCUACUGGUCGCGCCCCCUAGGCCGGCCUCCUCCCCUCUCCUCCUUUAUAUACGGGGGCGGGAGCCACCUCUAAGCACAUAAAUUGUUUCUUAGCCGUGUGCGGUGCCCCCUCCACCGUUUACUCCUCCGGUCAUAUUGUCGUAGUGCUUAGGCGAAGCCCUGCGCGGAUCACUUCACCAUCACCGUCAUCACGCUGUCGUGCUGAUGAAACUCUCCCUCAACACUUUGCUGGAUCAAGAUUUCGAGGGAUGUCAUCGAGCUGAACAUGUGCUGAACUCGGAGGUGUCGUACGUUCGGUACUUGAUCGGUUGGAUCACAAAGACGUUCGACUACAUCAACCGCGUUAAACUAACGCUUCCGCUUUCGGUCUACAAGGGUACGUGAACACACUCUCCCCUCUCAUUGCUAUACAUCUCCUAGAUAGAUCUUGCGUGAGCGUAGGAACUUUUUUGAAAUUGCAUGCUACGUUUCCCAACAAUAUGAACUCAUAAAUUUUGUCAAAUCUCUCUAUCCUACUUUCUGAUCAAAUACACAAUGGAACAAGGGCAGACAAAACCCGUCUGUGCUUGCACCAUUGGUCCUCUUCUUUUGUGCAGUGUAACAAAAAUAUAAGUCUGCACAACACAAAUUUUGUAAGAUAAAUAACUUUAUAAGUCAAGUGGUUUAUUAAAUACAUCUUGUGAAAUAAGAAUAUCAUACCCAAUUUCAGGGUGAUCACCCCGCUCGAGUACUCUUGUAUUCUGCGGUGUGGGUAGAUUGGGCCAUUACUUUGAGCAAUCUCUUAUGCACCCGCUAUUAAUGUUCCUAUAUGGAGGCAUUGCCAAUAACCAGUAUCCUAAACCAAGAGUGCGGAGGAGUAGGUGACUACCUCCGCACCUUCUCUUCUCUUCUCUUCAAAUUUUAUUGUGCAAUGCAACUAAAAUAAAAAGCAGCCGCCAAAAAAUAUUUUGUUUAAAUGUUGUUGGGUUAUAUUUGACAUCACUAUGUUCGAAGAUCAACACAUAGGUAUAUAAUCUAGAAGGAAUAGAGACUAAGACACAUACCUCAAAUAACAUAAUGAACCUUAAUUUUCGACAUCAAAGGAGUAACUAGUUUGACUAGCAUGAGUUAAAGAAUUUUUUCUAUUCUUUAACACAGACAAGUCAAAGCUAGUCAUGCCUUUGAUAUAUGUAAAGGUUAUCAGUUUCAUCAUUUGUCUAAAGAAAUGACCUAUCAAUACUCCUCCCUUUUGGGUCUGUCGAACCUGUAUUAUCUCAUCACACUAGUAGAUAAACCACCAUUAGUCCCGGUUGGUAAGGGCCUUUUGUCCCGGUUCCUGAACCGGGACUAAAGGGUCGUUACUAAUGCCCUGGCCCUUUAGUCCCGGUUCAGUCCAGAACCGGGACUGAUGGGCCUCCACGUGGCCGGUGCGCCGAGCCCACGCAGGAGGGCCUUUAGUCCCGGUUGGUAGCACCAACCGGGACCAAUAGGUUGUGGUUUUUUUUGAAAUGGGGGUGGGGGGGUGGUUGGGGGUUUUGGGGGCUUAAUUUAGGUGUUUCAUAUAUUGUGUUAGCUAGCUAAUUAAUAGAGAGAAGUGUCCUCUCUUAUGUCCGUGCUUGGUCGACGCUACGUACUGUACAUAAAGAGGCCCUCGACACGCUAGCUAGUAAGAAAAUGAAGUAAACCAUUAAGUACAGAAGUUCGUCAUGCAUACCGAGAGAAGUGAUCGAUCGACCUCUCCUUCUCCGAGAGAUUGGUCGAACAACAAGUUUUCGUAUUAUCUAUCUGACGCUACUGGUUACAUACAUAUACAAUAUGUAAGAUCUCUUACAAUCCCCUAUCAAUUGAAAUCAACUUCCACAUGGUAUUCUCCGGCUUUAUUGAUGACGUGGUCUAGAAAGAAUCCUGCCAAUUCCUCUUGAAUUGCUUUCAUGCGAUCUUGUUCUAGGAGUUCAUCCCGCAUCUGCCACGUCUAAUUUGAAUAAGGUGGUUAAUACAUAUAUAUGAAUGAAACUCAACAAAAAUGAUGGUGUAAUAAAAUGAAAUUGUGAAUAUUAUUGCUUACGCACUUCAUAUUGUCUUUUAGAGUAGCCCCGCUUAUUUUUCAAAGUCGCGUUGUAGAUGAACUCGCACACAUAGUAUCCACAGUAAUUAUUCCCUUGUUCCUGCCACAAGCACUUUACGAGAAAUAGAGGUCAAUCAAACUAAUAAUGAAGCAUUAUAAAUGGCAUUGAUGAAAGUAUAGCUAUUGAAUCAACAGCAGAUGCGUGCAACUAGCUAGCCAGUAGUACUUACUUUCGGAUAUGUAUAUCGCAGCUCCUUCGGCAGUCCCGGAGCUUCUGCGGUGAACUGUUUCCAAACCUUGCAAGACAAAGAAAAUAAUUAUUAUUACUUUAGAUAUCAGGAAAUGAACAAAAAGUUGCCGAUAUGGUGCGAUAAUGAUCGAUUAAACUUACUUGUUGAGCAAUUUAGUCAUGUACGCAUAGGUUUCGGGAUCUUUUCGUCUCGAGUCUAAGAUGGUUACUAGUCCCCGCUCAAGCUUAAUCUCCAGAAGAACAUAGUGGAAGCUGGGCACGCAUGCAUAACUCAUCAAUUACAUUACUAUAACCUCGCUUGAGUAAUAAGGGAAACCGAAUAUGCACACGACAGUAACACUCACUUGAAGUUGUAAGGAAAGAGUAUUAAAUCUUUGUUUUGAUUUUUGAUCAAUGAUUGUAGCAAGUUGGCCUCGGCCUCUUCGGCGUGCUUUUUAACCUGAAUUUCAUCUAUGAUAUUUGUGUUAAUGAACCCAAUAUCAUACAUUUCUUGUUUUUUGCACUCGAUGAUCUUCAAUCUGCAUAAUAUAGUGAAGAUAAUUAAUUAUAAAUACAUGCAAUGAAAGAGCUAAGCUAUAUAUAGAGACUUAAUGACAGAAAUAGUACUUACAGACAGUAGCAAAAGACCGUUAAUUUAUUGAGGGCCUUUUGAUUGAAGAACUCGAAGAACUCCUCAAAUGGAACAUGCAACAUAUUAGUUCCAACGAGGUCAUGCUCCUCUUUAAUUCUCAGAUACAAAGUAUUCGUCCCCCCAGACUCUCUGCAGGUUUUCAUGUACCAAUUAUGGAAUCUUCGCAUCAUCGUUGUUAGAGAUUUUUCAUCUUUGACGAGAGGCUUCCCGUACUCGUAUCUGUGUUUGUCCACCUCCAUGAAAUCAAAAUCUACAUCGUUAGGCAGGUAAUAUGCAAGAUUGCUAUAACCAUGCACCGUCCCCGGAGCAUUAGUAACGAUGUCGCCGCUAGACACAUUGAGCGGGGGGCACGAUUGAUUUGCUUGUUCACCGAGCUGGGCAAUUUUUUUUCUUAGCUUCUCGUUCUUUUAACCUUGGAUCACUGACAGUACUUCCCGACCGCUCCGCUGUGCGAUAUGCCUGUUCAGUAAUGCGCUCAUAGUGCGGAGACUUUGGUGGUUUCCUCAGGGCAUCGAUAGUGUGCUUUGCUUUCACCGGAUCUACCUUCUCCUCCGGAGGUGGAUGUCUCUUUGCUUUCAACCCUUUAAAGAAGUCCUCCACUUCGGUCCGCACGAUCUUCGCAUUUUCCUUCUUGGUCCUCUCGUACGGUAACUUCUCUAGAGGCUUGAGAGAAGGACCGUAUCUGUAUUGCCUCCCGCCUCUACUGGCUGUACUGCUAGACGCCGGAGUAGACGGAGCGGAUGCGGCAUCUGUCUUCUUUCGUGCUUGCUUACGAGGCGGAGGAGAAGGACUACGACGCGCCGGAGCAGCCGGGGCGCCGGCGGGUCUCUUCCGCCCUUGCUGGCGAGGCGGAGAAGGGAGGCUGCUGGCUGCUCGGGCGCGCUGGCGCAGGCAGAGAAGGAGGCGGAGUGCCGCCACGAUUCGGAGAAGGAGGCCGAGUUCCCAGAUCAUCACUCGCCGGAGGAGGAGGCGGUGGAGAAGGCGGAGUGCCCAGACUCGCCGGAGGAGGAGGAGGAGCCGUCCAGUUCGGAAGCUUGAUGAACUCCUUCCGCCAUAGGCAUGGAGUCUUCAGAGCAGAACCCAGCCGAGUCUCCCCUUCACCGGUAGGGUGGUCAAGCUGGAGGUCCUCAAAUCCCUUUGUUAUUUCGUCCACUGUCACCCUAGCAUAUCCUUCUGGAAUUGGAGGAUAGUGAAAAAUUGCGCCGGGUUCAGGAGGUCGAACUUGGCCCACAGCCGCCUUGACUUUUAAGUUCUGCCAUUGCGUCAUAAGGUGGCAAUUUUGAGACUCUGUGAUAAAAUCCACAGGGUAGCUAGCAGGUGCCGUCAAGACAUGCUCCGGCUGAAGCAGCUCAGUGGAAGCCACGCUGCGUCUCUGCUGAGAUGGCGGGGUAGCUUCGGAGGAAGCUUCGGUAGGUCGUUUGUUGCGAUCUGCUUCUCGUUCCUCUAGCCCUUGUACCCUUGCGUGCAGCGCCUGCAGUUGGCUAUGCUCCACUUUCUUCCUCCUCUCAUGGCAUUUGUAACUGCCUGCGUCCGGAAAACCAACCUUCCACGGAAUGGAGCCUGGCGUGCCUCGUGUCCGUCCAGGGUGCUCAGGAUUCCCGAGGGCCAUUGUGAGCUCGUCCUUCUCCCUGUCUGAAAUGAACGUCCCUUGCUGUGCUGCAUCAAUAUAGUGUCGAAGCCUGUUGACUGGUAUUUUCAGUUGCUCAUCUGUCCGACGGCACUUCCCUGAUACAGGGUCCAAGGUUCCGCCAGCCCCGAAGAACCAAGUCCGGCAACGGUCUAGCCAGUUCAUUGUCUCUGGUUCGAUCCCUUUAUCAAGCAGAUCAUUCUGAGCCUUGGACCACUUAGGCCGGGCUUUGAGGUAGCCACCUGACCCCGUGCGAUGGUGAAACUUCUCCGCAACAUUUUUCUUGUUUGUCGCCGACAUCUUUUUACUCUUUUCCGAUGUCUUGUGGGCCACAAAUGCGGGCCAGUGAUCUCUGAUCUUCUCAUAUUUGCCGAUGAAUUCUGGUGUCUCUUCUUUGUCGACAAACUUAUUCAGCUCUUUCCUCCACCUUCUGAAUAGGUCUGCCAUCUUCUUAAGAGCACAAGACUUGAUUAAUUGCUCUAUAAGUGGCUUCUCCGGAUCCUCCUCUAGCGGUUGGGUGAAAUUUGCCUUCAGCUCAGCCCAAAGAUCAUCUUUCUGCAUAUCAUUGACAUAAGACACCUCAGGGUCUUCCUCCUUAGGCUUAUACCAUUGGUGGAUGCUGAUCGGGAUCUUGUCCCUAACAAGAACCCCGCACUGAGCAGCAAAUGCGUUCUUUGUCCGGAUGGGUUCAAUCGGUUCGCCGUCGCGCGCGAUUGCUGUGAUCUCAAACCUUUCAUCCGAGCUCAACUUUUUCUUCGGGCCUCGUCUCCUUACCAAAGUUGUGCUCAAUCCGGAGGGCUAGAAAAAAGAAGAAAGACGAGAGUUAAUUAAUAUGUGUACAUAUACUAAAACAAUGAAUGCAUCAAUUAGCUAGUCAGCACAGGCUUAACUAAUAUAUAUACCUGGCCAGACUCGGUUCGGUCACCGGAGCCGUCAUCACGGUCUCCUUCUUGCACCGUCAUUGGGUCACUGGAGCGGUCCUCACGAUCUCCUUCUUGCACCGGCAUUGGGUCAAAGGAUGCAUCAUAAUCAUAGCCUGCUUCUUCACCCAGUCCUUCCAGACCAUCGGUGUCCUUCAGAAAUGAUAAGACGACAUCACUUCCUUCUGCGAUUAUCUCCCCCAACAUCGCUUCUGUUGCUUCGUCUCGGGGGUGUCCAUAGUUUCUACAAAUAUUUACAACAUGGCAAUUAUUAUUCAAACAUGACAGAUAUGGAUAUAUUAGUGGAAAACGUAGAACUAGCUAGCUAAUCACAGUAAGGAAUCAUAUUAAUUAGUGGCCUCGACGCUGCUUCUCUAGGGUUUGGGGUGGCCUUGACAACGCUUCAAGGGGGUAAUAUCGACAACAAUGAGAUACAUACACGGGAAAAUAAUGUUAUCGGGGAGGGGGUAUAUGGACCCCCCACACACGUGUUGAAGUUAUCGGGAGGGGGUACAUCGACCCCCCCGCAUGUUGAAGUUAUCAGGAGGGGUUUAUAUCGACAACGAAGACAUACGUACAUGGGAAAAUAAUAUGGGGGUAUAUCGACCCCCCCCCCCACGUGUUGAAGUUAUCGGGAGGGGUUUAUAUCGACAAUGACGACAUACAUAUACGGGGAAAUAAUAUUAUCGGGGAGGGGGUAUAUNNNNNNNNNNNNNNNNNNNNNNNNNNNNNNNNNNNNNNNNNNNNNNNNNNNNNNNNNNNNNNNNNNNNNNNNNNNNNNNNNNNNNNNNNNNNNNNNNNNNNNNNNNNNNNNNNNNNNNNNNNNNNNNNNNNNNNNNNNNNNNNNNNNNNNNNNNNNNNNNNNNNNNNNNNNNNNNNNNNNNNNNNNNNNNNNNNNNNNNNNNNNNNNNNNGACCCCCCCCCCAUGUGUUGAAGUUAUCGGGAAUUUAUAUCGACACAACAUACGUACGUGGGAAAAUAAUAUUAUCGAGGAGGGGGUAUAUCGACGACGACAGACCCGAUAAAACAUAAGAAAACAAAGAAGAAAUAAAAAGAGGAGAAGAAGAAAGGAAUAGAGGAGAAGAUCGAACAAAAACAGGAGAAAAAAAAGAGGAGAAGAAGAAAGGAAUAGAGGAGAAGAAGAAAAAAUAGAAUUUUUUUCUAUUUUUUCUUCUUCUCCUCAAUUCCUUUCUUCUUCUCCUCUUCCUUUUCUUAUUUUUUUCUCUUCUUAUUUAUUUCUGUUCUUCUUCCUCUCCUCUUCUUCUUUCUUUCCUCUUCUUAUUUUCUUCUUUCCUAUCCUUCUUCUUCUUCUUCUUCCCUUCCUAGCUAGAUAUAUAAAACUUUUCUAAAAUUGUAACUUUUGCAUAUAUAAAUCUUUUCCAUGGAUCAUCAUUUCUCAUAUAUAUCGAAUAUAUAUCCAUUGUCAUAUAUAAAAACUUUCUAUAUAUGAACAAAAAACUUUCUUUGAACAAAAAAACAAUUUUGACAUAUAUAUUUAGCAUAUUCUAGCCACAUACACAUAUACAUUAUAGCCACAUACACAUAUACAUCACAUAUGAACAAAGAAAUGAAACUAAUAAAAAUAAAAAACAUAUAGCCACAUAUUAACAAAACCAUAUAGCCACAUACAUACACAUAUACAUUAUAUAUAUAUAUAUUUAUGAACAAAAAAAUUAAACUAAUAAAAAACAGAGCCGGGGCGGCGGCUCACAGCGGGGGCAGCUGAGGGCGCCGGCGCGCGGGGGCGGGACGAGGCAGGGGCAGGGCGACGACGACGAGGAGCGGGCGGCGACGGCNNNNNNNNNNNNNNNNNNNNNNNNNNNNNNNNNNNNNNNNNNNNNNNNNNNNNNNNNNNNNNNNNNNNNNNNNNNNNNNNNNNNNNNNNNNNNNNNNNNNNNNNNNNNNNNNNNNNNNNNNNNNNNNNNNNNNNNNNNNNNNNNNNNNNNNNNNNNNNNNNNNNNNNNNNNNNNNNNNNNNNNNNNNNNNNNNNNNNNNNNNNNNNNNNNNNNNNNNNNNNNNNNNNNNNNNNNNNNNNNNNNNNNNNNNNNNNNNNNNNNNNNNNNNNNNNNNNNNNNNNNNNNNNNNNNNNNNNNNNNNNNNNNNNNNNNNNNNNNNNNNNNNNNNNNNNNNNNNNNNNNNNNNNNNNNNNNNNNNNNNNNNNNNNNNNNNNNNNNNNNNNNNNNNNNNNNNNNNNNNNNNNNNNNNNNNNNNNNNNNNNNNNNNNNNNNNNNNNNNNNNNNNNNNNNNNNNNNNNNNNNNNNNNNNNNNNNNNNNNNNNNNNNNNNNNNNNNNNNNNNNNNNNNNNNNNNNNNNNNNNNNNNNNNNNNNNNNNNNNNNNNNNNNNNNNNNNNNNNNNNNNNNNNNNNNNNNNNNNNNNNNNNNNNNNNNNNNNNNNNNNNNNNNNNNNNNNNNNNNNNNNNNNNNNNNNNNNNNNNNNNNNNNNNNNNNNNNNNNNNNNNNNNNNNNNNNNNNNNNNNNNNNNNNNNNNNNNNNNNNNNNNNNNNNNNNNNNNNNNNNNNNNNNNNNNNNNNNNNNNNNNNNNNNNNNNNNNNNNNNNNNNNNNNNNNNNNNNNNNNNNNNNNNNNNNNNNNNNNNNNNNNNNNNNNNNNNNNNNNNNNNNNNNNNNNNNNNNNNNNNNNNNNNNNNNNNNNNNNNNNNNNNNNNNNNNNNNNNNNNNNNNNNNNNNNNNNNNNNNNNNNNNNNNNNNNNNNNNNNNNNNNNNNNNNNNNNNNNNNNNNNNNNNNNNNNNNNNNNNNNNNNNNNNNNNNNNNNNNNNNNNNNNNNNNNNNNNNNNNNNNNNNNNNNNNNNNNNNNNNNNNNNNNNNNNNNNNNNNNNNNNNNNNNNNNNNNNNNNNNNNNNNNNNNNNCAGGGGCGCGGGGCGACAGCGACGAGGAGCGGGCAGCGACGGUGACACCGGGCAGCCUGGCGGCGUCGAGGAGGUCGUCGGCAUCGUCGAGGGCAACUGGCGAGGGAAAUCUGAAAAUUUCCCAAGUAUUGCUUAUAUAGCAAAGGAUUUGGUCCCGGUUCGUGGCACAAAACGGGAACAAUGCCCCAUUUAGUCCCGGUUGGUGCCACCAACCGGGACCAAAGGCCUCUUUUCAGCAGCCCAAAGGGCGGGAAGCGGCGGCCUUUGGUCCAGGUUGGUGGCACCAACCGGGAUUAAAGGGGGGCAUUGGUCCCGGUUCGUAGCACCAACCGGGACUAAUGCACCCCUUUUGUCCCAGUUGGUGCCACCAACCGGGACCAAUGGGCCUUGCACAACAGCGUGGUGGUGGGAGUUUAGUUCCACCUCGCUAGCUGAGAGAGAGCCGCACCUGUUUAUAAGGUGCAUUGCGCCAACCCUCUCAAGCUCCUCUCUAAAGCAGGCUUUCGGGCCUAAUCUGUCUCUAUGUGCCUGUGGGCCUACUGGGCUUACUACGGGCCUGAAUCCUUGCCCAUUGUUAGGUUUCUAGUCGUAUUCAGGCCGUGGGGGCCCAGUAGGAGGCACCUUUUUGUUUUUUGGGUUUCUUUACUUAUUGUUGCUAUUUUUAUUCUUUUCUAUUUUUUUGUUUUGUUUUCUGCAUUAUUUAUUUUCUUUUGUUUUUUGCUUUAUUUUUUAAUUCUUUUUUGCUUUUAGUUUUAGAAAAAUUAUAAACUUUCUGUUAGUGCCAUUAGUUUUCAAAUUUGAAACACUUUUUUGGUUUUCUUUCUUGCUUUAUUUAUUUUAUUUUGUUUCUACUUACAACAUGGCAAUUAUUAUUGAAACAUGACAGAUAUGGAUAUAUUAGUGGCAAACGUAGAAGUAGCUAGCUAACCACAGUAAGGAAUCAUAUUAAUUAGCGGCCUCGAUGCUGCUUCUCUAUGGUUUGGGGUGGCCUCGACAAUGCUUCAAGGGGGUAUAUCGACCCCCCCCUCGUGUUGAAGUUAUCGGGAGGGGUAUAUCAACGAUGACAGACCCGAUAAAACAUAAGAAAACGAAGAAGAAAUAAAAAGAGGAGAAGAAGAAAGGAAUAGAGGAGAAGAUCGAAGAAAAAAAAGAAAAAAAAGAGUAGAAGAAGAAAUGAAUAGAGGAGAAGAAGAAAAAAAUAGAAUUUUUUUUAAUUUUUUCUUCUACUCCUCUAUUCCUUUCUUCUUCUCCUCUUCCUUUUCUUCUUUUUUCCUCUACUUAUUUAUUUCUCCUCUUCUUCCCCUCAUCUUCUUCUUACUUUCCUCUUCUUACUUUCUUCUUUCCUAUCUUUCUUUUUCUUCUUCUUCCCUUCCUAGCUAGAUAUAUAAAACUUUUCUAAAAUUGUAACUUUUGCAUAUAUAAAUUUUUUCCAUGGAUCAUCAUUUCUCAUAUAUAUCGAAUAUAUAUCCAUUGUCAUAUCUAAAAACUUUUUAUGAACAAAAAAACAUUUUUUACAUAUAUAUUUAGCAUAUUCUAGCCACAUACACAUAUACAUCAUAUACACAUACACAUUAUAGCCACAUACACAUAUACAUCACAUAUGAACAAAAAAAUUAAACUAAUAAAAAUAAAAAACAUAUAGCCACAUAUGAACAAAAACAUAUAGCGGGGGCGGGACGGGGCAGGGUCAGGGCGACGGCGACGAGUAGCGGGCGGCGACGGCGAGCACGUGGCAGUGGCUUGGGGCGCCGGGGNNNNNNNNNNNNNNNNNNNNNNNNNNNNNNNNNNNNNNNNNNNNNNNNNNNNNNNNNNNNNNNNNNNNNNNNNNNNNNNNNNNNNNNNNNNNNNNNNNNNNNNNNNNNNNNNNNNNNNNNNNNNNNNNNNNNNNNNNNNNNNNNNNNNNNNNNNNNNNNNNNNNNNNNNNNNNNNNNNNNNNNNNNNNNNNNNNNNNNNNNNNNNNNNNNNNNNNNNNNNNNNNNNNNNNNNNNNNNNNNNNNNNNNNNNNNNNNNNNNNNNNNNNNNNNNNNNNNNNNNNNNNNNNNNNNNNNNNNNNNNNNNNNNNNNNNNNNNNNNNNNNNNNNNNNNNNNNNNNNNNNNNNNNNNNNNNNNNNNNNNNNNNNNNNNNNNNNNNNNNNNNNNNNNNNNNNNNNNNNNNNNNNNGGUGCCACCAACCGGGACCAAAGGCUUCUUUUCAGCAGCCCAAUGGGCGGGAAGUGGCGGCCUUUGGUCCCGGUUGGUGGCACCAACCGGGACUAAAGGGGGGGCAUUGUUCCUGGUUCGUAGCACCAACCGGGACUAAUGCACCCCUUUAGUUCCAGUUGGUGCCACCAACCGGGACCAAUGGUCCUUGCACAACGGCGUGGUGGUGGGAGUUCAGUCCCACCUCGCUAGCUGAGAGAGAGCCGCACCUGUUUAUAAGGUGCGAUGCGCCAACCCUGUCGAGCUCCUCUCUAAAGCAGGCUUUCGGGCCUAAUCUGUCUCUAUGUGCCUGUGGGCCUACUGGGCUUACUACGGGCCUGAAUCCUGGCCCAAUGUUGGGUUUCUAGUCGUAUUCAGGCCGUGGGGGCCCAGUACGAGGCACGUUUUUUGUUUUUUGUUUUCUUUACUUAUUGUUGCUAUUUUUAUUUUAUUUUCCAGUUUUUUUGGUUUGUUUUCUGUAUUAUUUGUUUUCUUUUGUUUUAUGCUUUAUUUUUUAAUUCUUUUUGCUUUUAGUUUUAGAAAAAUUAUAAACUUUCUGUUAGUGCCAUUAGUUUUCAAAUUUGAAAACACUUUUUUGGUUUUCUUUCAUGCUUUAUUUAUUCUAUUUUGUUUCUACUUACAACAAAAUACUUAUUGUUGCUAUUUUUAUUUUUUUCCAGUUUUUUGUUUUGUUUUCUGCAUUAUUUAUUUUCUUUUGGNNNNNNNNNNNNNNNNNNNNNNNNNNNNNNNNNNNNNNNNNNNNNNNNNNNNNNNNNNCUUUGUUGCUUUAUUUAUUUUAUUUUGUUUCUACUUACAACAAAAUACUUAUUGUUGUUAUUUUUAUUUUGUUUCCAGUUUUUUUUGUUUUGUUUUCUGCAUUAUUUAUUUUCUUUCUAUUUUUGCUUUCUUUUUUAAUUCUUUUUGCUUUUAGGUGAGCAAAAUUAUAAACUUUCUGUUAGUGCCAUUAGUUUUAGAAAAAUUAUAAACUUUCUGUUAGUGCCAUUAGUUUUCAAAUUUGAAUAGUUAAAAUUUGAAUUCUUUGAAAUUUGUGUGAAUCACAAGUUUGUGAUUAACUUUACUAAAAAUAUGAACAUAGAUGCGCCUAUAGAGAAAAUUCAACCUAAAUUUAUAAUAAAUUUCUAUGAUUUUCAGAGAAAUUCACUAUGAAUUUAGGUCAAAUUCCCUGUAUAGGGGCAUCUAUUUUCACUUUGAGAGGAGCUCAACAAGGCAGAGAGGGAUGGGCUUAUAAACCGGUGUGAGCGCCCUUCGGUUGGCGAGGUGGGACUAAACUCUGAGCACAACAAGGACCAACCCUUUAGUCCCGGUUUUUGGCACAAAUCGGGACAGAUGGUCAUGGGCCAGGGGCGAGGUGCAUUGGUCCUGGUUCGUGCGUGGAACCGGGACCAAAAGGUCCAGACGAACCGGUACCAAUGGCCCACGUGGCUGCCCUCUUGAGAGUGUUCUUGGUGAGAACAUAGUUGACAAGGAGCGAACCGGGAUUAAUGGUAUUACGAGGGCCGAACCAUAAGACAUUAGAGCAUUUCAAAUGAACUCUGAAGAAAUUGAAAGUUGGCAUGGUAUCAUAAUUUCACCCACAUAGCAUGUGCAUGUACAAAACCGACAAUGGUAUCAUACUCGUCUGUUACAAAGUUGGCAUGGUAUCAUCAUAAUAGUUGCGGGAGAAAGUCUUCAGUUUUUCUUCGCUUGUGUCAUUUGCUUAUUGCGCAUUAACCAUGGAUAAUCUUCAUCGUUUAUCAGGAUGCUUGGGUCAGCCUUGACUUUGAAGGGAGGAAUUUCAUGAAACUUUUCAUAAUCUUCAGACAUGUCUGUCUUGCCCCCCACUCCCACGAUGUCCCUUUUUCCUGAAAGAACUAUGUGGCGCUUUGGCUCAUCGUAUGAUGUAUUCACUUCCUUAUCUUUUGUUUUUGUCAGUCUGGUAGACAUGUCCUUCACAUAGAUAACCUGUGCCACAUCAUUGGCUAGGACGAACGGUUUGUCAGUAUACCCAAGAUUUUUCAGAUCCACUAUUUUCAUUCCAUACUGUGGGUCUACCUCUACCCCGCCUCCUGACAGAUUGACCCAUUUGCACUUAAACAAAGGGACCUUAAAAUCAUGUCCGUAGUCAAGUUCCCAUAUGUCCACUAUGUAACCAUAAUAUGUGUCCUUUCCCCUCUCGGUUGCUGCAUCAAAGCGGACACCGCUGUUUUGGUUGGUGCUCUUUUGAUCUUGGAUGAUCGUGUAAAAUGUAUUCCCAUUUAUCUCGUAUCAUUUCCAAAUCGUAACAGUCAAAGAUGGUCCCCUGGACAACAAGUACAGCUCAUCACAAAUAGUGUUGUCACCUCUGAGACGUGUUUCCAACCAACUGCUGAAAGUCCUAAUGUGUUCACAUGUAAUCCAGUCGUCGCACUGCUCCGGGUGUUUGGAGCGCAGACUGUUCUUGUGUUCAUCGACAUACGGGGUCACCAAGGUAUAGUUCUGUAGAACUGUGUAGUGUGCUUGAGACCAAGAAUAUCCGUCCCUGCAUAUUAUUGAGUCCCUUCAAAGCGUGCCUUUUCCAGUCAGUCUCCCCUCAUACAACGAUUUAGGGAGACCUAUCUUCUUAAGGCCAGGAAUGAAGUCAACACAAAACCCGAUGACAUCCUCUGUUUGAUGGCCCAUGGAGAUGCUUCCUUCUGGCCUAGCACGGUUAUGGAUAUAUUUCUUUAGGACUCCCAUGAACCUCUCAAAGGGAACAUAUUGUGUAGAAAUAUGGCCCCUAGAAUGACAAUCUCGUCGACUAGAUGAACUAGGACGUGCAUCAUGAUAUUGAAGAAGGAUGGUGGGAAUACCAGCUCGAAACUGACAAGACACUACGCCACAUCACUCCUUAGCCUUGGUAUGAUUUCUGGAUCGAUCACCUUCUGAGAGAUUGCAUUGAGGAAUGCACAUAGCUUCACAAUGGCUAAUCGGAUGUUUUUCGGUAGAAGCCCCCUCAAUGCAACCGGAAGCAGUUGCGUCAUAAUCACGUGGCAGUCAUGAGACUUUAGGUUCUGGAACUUUUUCUCUCGCAUAUUUAUUAUUCCCUUUAUAUUCGACGAGAAGCCAGUCAGGACCUUCAUACUGAGCAGGCACUCAAAGAAGAUUUCUUUCUCUUCUUUCGUAAGAGCGUAGUUGGCAGGACCUUCAUACUGCUUCGGAGGCAUGCCGUCUUUUUCGUGCAAAUGUUGUAGGUUCUCCCGUGCCUCAGGUGUAUCUUUUGUCCUUCCAUACACACCGCCCAAGAAGCCUAGUAGGUUCAUGCAAAGGUUCUUCGUCACGUGCAUCACGUUGAUUGAAGAGCGGACCUCUAGGUCUUUCUAGUAGAGUAGGUCCGAAAAUAUAGAUUUCUUCUUCCACAUGGGUGCGUGUCCCUCAGCGUCAUUCGGAACAGCUAGUGCGUCGGGACCCUUUCCAAAGAUUACGUGUAAAUCAUUGACCAUAGCAAGUACGUGAUCACCGGUACGCAUGGCGGGCUUCUUCCGGUGAUCUGCCUCACCUUUGAAAUGCUUGCCUUUCUUUCGACAUUGAUGGUUGGUCGGAAGAAAUCGACGAUGGCCCAGGUACACAUUCUUCCUCCAGCUUCCCAGGUAUAUACUAUUGGUGUCAAGUAAACAGUGUGUGCAUGCGUGGUAUGCCUUGUUUGUCUGUCUUGAAAGGUUACUGAGAGCGGGCCAAUCGUUGAUGGUCACGAACAGCAACGCCUUUAGGUAAAAUUCCUCCUGUUUGUGAUCAUCCCACGUACGUACACCGUUUCCAUUCCACAGUUGUAAAAGUUCUUCAACUAAUGGCCUUAGGUACACAUCAAUGUCGUUGCCGGGUUGCUUAGGGCCUUGGAUGAGAACUGGCAUCCUAAUGAACUUCCGCUUCAUCCACAUCCAAGGAGGAAGGUUAUACAUACAUAGAGUCACGGGCCAGGUGCUGUGAUUGCUGCUCUGCUCCCCGAAUGGAUUAAUGCCAUCCGCGCUCAAAGCAAACCAUACAUUCCUUGGGUCACUUGCAAACUCAUCCCAGUACUUUCUCUCGAUUUUUCGCCACUGCAACCUGUCAGCGGGUGCUCUCAACUUCCUGUCUUUCUUACGGUCCUCACUGUGCCAUCGCAUCAACUUGGCAUGCUAUCCGUUUCUGAACUACACAGAGGUAUAGCAGCAGUGUUGGUCAAAACUCGGCGCUAGCGCUACUUAGUAGUAGCGCUUGUUGCAAAACCACGCUACAAUCAUUAUUUUAGCAGUAGCGCGUCUCCGCAGAAAAGCGCUACUACUAAAAUUCUCUCACUGGUGCCGGUAGGCUAGGAAUAGUAGCAGCGCUUCUCGCAGAAGCACGCUACUGCUAAAACAUUGUAGCAGCGCGUUUCUUCUUUACAGCGCUACUGCUAUGUAAAAGAAAAUAAAUAGAAAAAUAAGUAGAAAAGUAAAUGAAAAUGAAAGAAAUAGAAAAAGGAGAAAUGAAAAAAAGAAAAUGUAAAGAAAACAAAAGAAAAAGAGAAAGAAAACAGAAAGGGUUAGCUGCAGCGCGUUUCUUUGGAACACACUAUAGCUAUCUUAGCUAUAGCGCGUUUCGUAAAAACGCCCUGCUGCUAGUUUGACUGAAAUCCCGGCGGCCCUGGCUCAAAAUUUCGCUAAGUCCUUUUCCCCCCCUCUCUACUCCCCCCAUGUGCCCCAACUGCUCCAUCGCCGCCGUUGCCCUGCCGCGCGCCUUCGACCACACUGCCGCCGCCCGCCGCCUUCGACCACACCGCCGCCGCCCGAGGCCGUCGUCGUCGACCUUACUGUCGCCUCCCUCGAGCUCGCCGCCGCCACCCUCGACCUCACCGCCGCUGCCCGAGCCAAAGCCUGCCCUCGCUGCCGACCGUAAGGCUAUGCCUCUCCUGUCCCUACCCUCCUAUUUCUCUCUGCUAGGGCAAUUAUAUAUAUGUGUUGAUACUGUGUUGAUGUUCAUAUGAACCCUAGGUGUUCAUAUGAACCGUAGAUUUUUUAGGGCAGUAGGCAUUUUAUAGCAUUUAGGAAAAAUGAUUUGCAAUUUUUUAGGAAAUUAGCUAGGGCAAUUUUUAUGAAAAUUCCUAAACAGUAAUUCCAUUUAGCUUUAAACUAAUAGAGGGUAUAUAAAUAAUAGUAGCAUUUAGAUUUAAAUUAACAGAGGGUAUAAACAAAAAACACUUAGCUAUAAAAAAAUAUUUUGACUAUGGACCUGAAUUUGUUCCAAAUUUCAUUCAAAUGAAAUUUGAAUUAUUUGGACUAUGGACCUGAAUAUUUUUGAAGAAAUUGGGUGUAGGUACUAAGGUCUUGCUGUGGAAAUUCUGAUGAGGUCAAAAGGGUUAGAGAAAAUGUAGUUCCUAUACUUUUAGCUUUAGACAAAAAACAAAAGUAUCAUUGAUGUUCAUUUGCAUAUUCCAUUAUUGUUGAUUAUAUCUUUUCAUUGAAGUGGCCAUGUUAUAUAGUGUUUGCUCAUGUUAUAUGUUUUCAUUGAAGUUGUUCGAUUGUGCCCAAGUGGCUUUGUUGUUUCCAGGGAAUGAUGCUGAGUGGCCUAUGUUUUGCCGGAAUGUUGAUUUAUUUCUGUUCCGGCAAAUUUCAGGUUCUCGAUUUGUCCACUUUUUAGCAAAGGUCAUGCCGAAAUUUUCCGUGAAUUUCCGCAUGACUUGUGCUACAAACUAGGACAUAUCAAGUGCCCGGGAUUUGCCGCACCAGGAAGGAGUCAACAUUCCUGCAAAACAAUAUUCCUUUUUUUAUGUCAUUAUUCAUUUUAUUAGGUCUAAAAUUAAUUGACUAGAUUUAAUCAUAGGAAACAUGGCUAGCAACGAUGAAGGACAGGGUUCUGGUGAUUGCGACGACGUCUACCUGGCGGCAGACGAAUAUUUUAGCCUUACCGACGAUCAACCGAUGUUGUUGCUGGGCCCACCAGUGGCAUCAGGGACUAAGACUAACACGCAGACCGGUGCUGAGACUGAGACCGGCGCUGAGAUUCAGACCGGCAUCGAGACCGGCGCUGAGACCGGUGCUGCCUCGGGGAGCGGAGCCGGUGUAGAACCGAAAGCAAAGAGGCAACGACUUCCUAACAAACUCAAGACUACUAGGCUGGUGGUCACGGAGGUGGACACGACAUUUUUGAGCCAAAGGCGCCCGAGGAAGCUCGCUCGUGCUACGACAAUCAAAUAGGCUGCAUCGUACGGACAACCACCACCAUCAACGAUGAGAAACUACAGAAGAUAAAAAAUAUGAGGAGCUCCCUCCUAAAGAAGUUUCACUAGAUAUUCUUGUUCCCUGGCCGGAAUGAGAAGGAUUAUGAAGAUCCAGACGAGGACCCGGCAAUGAAGAAGAUAAACAAACACGCCAUGACCAAGUUCAGCGAUGCAUUGGCCUCCUGGAAAACUCGAGUGAAAGCAAGGAUCAUUGACAAGAAGGAACCCUACUCCAAGAUUGUAAAUGAUUAUUCGACAAUCACGGAAGACCAGUUUCAAAUAUUCAAGGAGGCUUGCGAGGCCGAAGCUGCCAAAAAUAAGUCUAAGUACAUGAAGGGGCUUCAACAGAGGAACAUUGGGAGCCACCACCUCGGAAGCCGUGGUUACGGCGAAAAGAGGUCCAAAUGGGCCAAGGAGGACGCGGAAGCCGCGAGUCUGGGCAUCCCAGACCCCUUGGCGGAUUCCACCGUCCCGCGGGAGCGUGACGUGCUGAGGGCCCGGCACCGUUGGGACCCAGUGAAGAAGGUUUACGAGACAACACCGGUCAUUACGGAGUUCAUGAGACAGCUGGUAAUUUUAGUUUCUGAUCAAUUCAACUGCACAUGUUAGUCAUAUUUGUAAACGAUCCUUGUGCCUUUUGCAGAGAGAGCAGCACCGGAUUGCGGCCGAAAGCGACUUGCCGUCUGAGGCAUUGGCGAGGCCCAAGUGGGACACUCCAUUCAACCGGGCGUUGAACAUAUUGAAACGACAACCGGUGGAUACUCGAUCGUCGUAUGGACGCGUGCAUGGUGUCGAAGAUGGCGCCACGUGGAAUAAGUACUACCGUGAGACCACGGAGGAGAGAAAGGAAAGACGGAGGUUAACUGAAAAAAACAUCGACAAGAAGGUUGAGAUUGCGGUUGAGAAGAAAUCAUCUCAGACAGUUGCAACAGCGGUAGCUGCCGCAAAACAGGCGGUUGCAGAUUUGUCUACUUCCUUGGUGACGGGCGUUAUCACUUGGACAAGGAAAAAUCCAAAAAAAAUGCAGAGGACUUUCCCCUUGCUGACUUCUUGGGAGCACCUGCUCCCGCACUGGCACCCGCACCUGCUCCCGCACCUGCUCCCGCACCGGCUACCGCACCUGCUCCCGCACCGGACGUGCUCGGCGGUGCUUCGUCUUUGGCUGAGCUCGACGCCCUCACGGUAUCUGUCACACCGGCCCCCUUCAAUAUAAAUGUAUAAUCUCCCGUUUUCAUUUCCUUUCGGAUAUCUCACGUCGCAGACUUUUCUUUGCAGGCCGACGAAACCCCGUGCACCAUAUUGUACACCAUCGGCGACCAGAAGGUGGCCGUGGGGAAGGCGACGAUAAUGAAGCCGAAGGAACCAUUGUUCCACAGCCGGCCGAUCCCCCCAAACGUCUUCAAGGUUUCCAUCGCCAGUGUCGAACCGGGCCACGAGAAUUUGCCUCCUCCAACACUACUGGUGGAUGACGAGGAGACACCGCGGCGGCUUGGUGAUUGUUGCAAUGGGUGGGUCCUGUUGUGGCCAAAGAGUCUGCUUCAUCUGGAGGCGGCCGGGAGCACACCCACGAGCACGCAGCCUCAGCAAGGUAUGAACAUCAACACCCCACCUACCCAAUUAGCGUCGGGUGUCGGGUUGGGUGAUAGCGGACGGGGUAAGGAGGAGGCUCCAUUAGUCGCUGAUGACGUCGCCAUGGAUGAGGAUGAGGAUGACGAUGGCGCUGAACAGUAUGUCUAUACUGGCGCCUCCUCAGGGUUUGAGCGUCAUGAGUCAGUGCCUGGAUUACCGUCUCAACGUGUUAUUGACGACCUUCCGGUAGUAAAGAAGUCUAGGAAGAGAGUGAGGAAAGGCAAAAAAGCUGAUUCUAUGAUCCAGCCACCUCAGCAGCCUCGGCUUCAGGACCGUAUAGAUAUCCCCGAUGCGGAUAAAUGGCAUAUCCCCGGUCAUCCAAUCCUACCUGCAACAGCGCUACGGGCCAGAUUCGGCGAUCUAAGGAGACUUCAUGACGAUGUGCUGCGGGUAGAGAAAUGCCUCAUCGCCUCGAAAGAUCCAGGAUACCCACUCUACGUGGUUAACGUUCCGCGGCAAAUGUCGUACAUCGACAGCUUCCCUGCGGAUAAGUUCUUCCUCCGAUUCGAUUACAUAUUCGACAUGUUUCACGUGAAGAAGCUGGAUUUUACAUUUGUCCGCCUUUAUGCCUUGCACAUGAACUACAUCAUUGGGGUUGAGCAGAUACGUCAUAUCUGUGUCGCUGACCCGUACUACAUGCACGAGAGAUUCUUGGGAGUCUGUGCAGAGCAGCGUGAAUACGCGAGGGAUUACAUCGUCAGUUUCAAGCUCGCCAAUAAGGACAAGGAGGCGAUUCUUGUGCCAUAUCAUCCCAUGUAAGUCAUCCGCGCUGCUAUCCUUCCUUAGAUUUGAAUAAUUCUUUUGCACGGUGGAGGCUAAUUAAUUUGAGGUGUACUUAUUUUGCACAGCGGCGGGCGCGCCGUCCUCAUCAUCCUCUACCCCCGAUUCUCCCACGCUCUUUACUUGGACUCGUCGAAGAACAUUCACAAAAAGGAUUACACCCACAUCAAAGAUGUUCUCGACAAUGCUAUGUUUUACUACCAAGCAAGGGGUGGAGAGGUUAGGGACAAGAAGAGAAGGGGCGGCAGGGCCGCCUUCAGCCAUAAGACCGACUUCUGCUGCAUCCAGCAACCGAACGAUUCUCUUAAUGAUGGAUUCUAUGUCCUAAACCACAUGCUGGAGUACAGACGGGAUCACCAGAACCUUCACAUGUCACCUAGAUCUGGCGAUGCCCAUAUUCUGCAAUGGGCAAAGGACAUAGGAGAUAUCGAGGAUCAUCGACUUCGAGCUGAGUUCUAUAACAUCCAGUGCAAACUUGCCCAAAUCAUCAUGAAAGAGGUCGUCGAAAAAACAGGGAUGUUCUACGGAGGACAAAUGUCGCGGGAAGACGUCCGAACAUGCAUAGCCUCUCAGCAUCUCGACAUGAACCCUUUCACUAAGCUCGGGGACUAUCUCCCUGACCUCGAUGGAUGGCACGGCAUGUUGGAGUGAUUGUCGAUAUAUGACAAUGUGUCUGUUUAGUCCAUACUUUAUGUAUGACAAAACUUUGAGUUAUGCGCAGUGAAACUUUAUUUGUGAUGUAAUUAAACCGUCCUCCUCCUCGACUAGGGAAGAUCACUCUAGUUAGGGCAUUUUGGUUACGAUGAACUUUGUUAUUUAUGCUUAUGAUAUGUUGUUUCUAUUUUUUUUCAAGUUUGUCUCUUUCUGUUGCUCAACUAUAUAUGUUGCAUAUCAUCUACUCAUGUGACGAUGCAAGUGCAUAGAUCAUCGAUGGCGAAGAAGUGCUACGCCAGGAGUAUAUAUACGAUGAGUGGCCGGAGUGUCAGGCCCAGGUGUUGCCGGUUUCCGGUUUCCGAGCGACAUGCAGUAGUUAGUUUAGGUUCACGCUAAUGCGAGAGAGGGAUACGAACUCAUGUACUCAAAGUGAUAGCUCUUCUCGCCUAUACCAUUGUUUAGAUGGAUGACGAUGUAUUUGCAAGUAAUCAAGGACUUGUAUCGCUAUUUUCGAGAUGAUGACGAGAGACCACUUUGUGUUGGAUGAUGAUUAUGAUGAGACUAUUUGUAUGUAUAUGCUAUGAUUAUAUUCGUGGUCUCGCAGGCAUUUGUAUGUGUAUCAUGAUGACAUUUCUAUGUGCUAAAGAUUCUUCUAUAAAGCCUAUUCAAAUAAAAAAUAAAUAUGCCCAAAAAAACCCGUUAAAUUAGCAGUAGCGAGUGUAUAGAAGUUAGCAGCAGCGCCUCUAUAGCAGUAGCGCGUUGCUGCAAAGGGCGCUAGAGCUACUAGCAGUAGCGUGCUCCCAGUAACCGCACUGCUGCUACAAUUGUGUAGCAGUAGCGCCGGUGACCACGCGCUACUGCUAUAUGUUAGCUGUAGCGCCUUAUUAGUAGCGCCCCACCCCGCGCUACUCAUACACCAAAAACCCGCGCUGCUGCUAGCCUUUUCCCUAGUAGUGACAUCGUCUGGUUCCUCUUGAUGUUCAGUAGCAUCACCGUAUUCAGGGGGCACAUAGUUUUCAUCGUACUCUUCUUCUUCGCCGUCUUCCAUCAUAACCCCUAUUUCUCCGUACCUCGUCCAAACAUUAUAGUGUGGCAUGAAACCCUUGUAAAGCAGUUGGGUGUGAAGGAUUUUCCGGUCAGAGUAAGACUUCAUGUUCCCACAUAUAGGGCAUGGACAACACAUAAAACCAUUCUGCAUGUUUGCCUCAGCCACUUCGAGAAAAUCAUGCACUCUAUACUCGGAGGUGUGUCUGUCACCGUACAUCCCUUGCCGGUUCAUCCGCGUGCAUUAUAUAUAAUUAAGUGUGUCAAAAAUCAUUAUAGAACAUCAUGAAUAGAUAAUUAAUGACCAAAUUAAUAGAAGUUCAUCAUCGCAUUAAAACCAAAGUACAUACAUAGUUCUCAUCUAACAACAUAAAGCUCUGCAGAGCAUCUAAAUUAAUUAAAUCAUACAUUGAAACUAUGUAAAACAUUUCAAUGCGAAAACAAAUGCGAUCAUAAUCGCAACCAAGGUAACAACUGAUCCAAUGACAUAAUGAUACCAAGCCUUGGUAUGAAUGGCAUAUUUUCUAAUCUUUCUAAUCUUCAAGCGCAUUGCAUCCAUCUUGAUCUUGUGAUCAUCGACGACAUCCGCAACAUGCAACUCCAAUAUCAUCUUCUCCUCCUCAAUUUUUCUUAUUUUUUCCUUCAAGAAAUUGUUUUCUUCUUCAACUAAAUUUAACCUCUCGACAAUAGGGUCGGUUGGAAUUUCCGGUUCAACAACCUCCUAGAUAAAUAAAAUCUAUGUCACGUUGGUCGGCAUAAUUGUCAUAAACAAUAAAUGAACCAAUAGUUAUGAAAAGAUAAUAUAUACCACAUCCGAAUCAUAGACAAGACGAGGGCCGACGGGGGCGGAUACCAAAACCAUCGCACUAUAUAAGAUGUAAUAAUAAAAGUAAGAAAAUAAUACAAGUAUCUAUCUAAACAUACAAGUAAGAAUAUUUUUUCUUUCAGAAAGAAGAUAAGAACAAGAGGCUCACCACGGUGGUGCCGGCGAUGAGAUCGGCGCGAGUGAUCGACGGUGGUGAAGACGGGGACGGGGCGUGACGGACCGCUAAACCAAGACAAAUAUUGAGGAAAAUGGAGCUUGGAGGUGGAGCUUGGAGAGGAGAAAGCUUAAGUAGUGUGGCUCGGGCAUUCCAUCGAACACCUUGUGUGCAUAAUAGGUGAACUAGAGCACCACCAAGCCCUCUUCCCCUCAGCGGCCAGAAAAAACAGAGCAGUGUGCUCUGCUCUUAAGCGAGGGGGUAUAUAUAGGCACCUCAUUGGUCCCGAUUGGUGGCAUGAACCGGGACUAAAGGGCAGCCUUUGGUCCCGGUUCAAGCCAUCAACCGGGACCAAUGGUGGUGGGCUAGGAGCGAGGCCCAUUGGUCCCGGUUCGUCCCACCAACCGGGACCAGAAGGUCCAGAUGAACCGGGACGAAUGGCCCACGUGGCCCGGACGGCCCCCGGGGCUCACGAACCGGGUCCAAUGCCCCCAUGGGUCCCGGUUCUGGACUGAACCGGGACUAAUGGGCUGACCCGACCUGGACCUUUGCCCCCUUUUCUACUAGUGUCAACUAAUCACAUUCAUAUAAGAAAUAACUAAUCAUACAAAAAGACAUAAGCAUACAGAUCAAUAACCCUAGAAGCAACAACUAUCGAUACAAAAAUAUAAACCGUGGCAAAAUAUUUUGAGAUCACCAUGUUGUAGAUUCGGAUAUAUCGGUGGUGGUCACAAGCAUCAAUUGCAAACUGUGUAUGCCUCGAAUUAGCGGAUUUGCCACCGUGCCGCGACAGAUAGGGGAUCUUCCACAAUGUAGUGGAAGACGAGCCACCGUGCCGCCUUAGAUGGCGGAUCUGUCACCGCACCACCACGAACAGGGGAUUGUCCACCAUGCAGAGACGGACGAGUGGUCGUGCCACCACGCCGCCUCGGACGGGCAUAUCUACCACCUCGCCUCCUAGGAGGCCAGAUCAGCCAACGCACCCCCAUGGAAGGGCAGAGCGCUGCAGCAGAUGGGCGGACGUGUGACUAGCUCAUUGGUGCUAGGAUUUGGCAGUGGAAUGGGAUGGGCAAGGGAAAUGGAAGGAAAAUAGAGUAAGAAGGCUACGCCCCGAUGAUCUGAACAGACACGUGUGGUUGCAAAAUAGAAACCGUGUGCGUUGGUGAGAAAUUUGAGGCAGUUAUAAAACAACAACUGCAUCUAAUGUUUCUUACAAGCAGUCAUUGUUCUGACCGCCUCCGGAGCUAUCUACAACAAUGUAAGCCACUUGCAUUGGGUGUAUUACAUGAGGCUUUCAUAAUUUUGGUCACAACCGCCUCCAGCGGCCGUUGCUCAUGCUCGUUUUUCUACUAGUAAUGGAAAGAAUCCUAAAAUUGAGUUGACAUUUAAAGAAGCACUGAAGUUGAUCCUCGAUAGUACUACCAGGGUAUCCCAACCAACACAUGAGUUUUCACACAAGAUUUGGGUCAAAACCACCAAAGCACAAUUUUAUCUCAAUUGGAAUUGUGUUACACCACCCAAUUUCCAAUGGGAAGUGCCUCAAUAGGUGGUUAGUCAAAAGUUAUCCGACCGUGACAAACACAUCCUAUCUCCACCAACACUCCCACUGCAUGUGAAGGGAGAGAUGAUGCACAUGACGGUGAUGACAGUUACCCCCUCUCCCCCAUCGACUAAAUUCAUCACAACAUCAAAGGCUCUCACGACUCACUUAUUAGGUUACAUAGUUAUUUGUUCGAGUUAAUGCCAUGACCUGAUGGCCAUGGCCCACUACCAAACCCUAGACAUAUCAAACCAUGAUAAGUAUGGAUAGUAAUUGAGAAGGAUACAACAUGAACAGCAAGAUGGACAAAUAUAUAUAACCAGUUAGCAUCAUCUUUCAACAUAAGUAAAACAUGAGCUAAGGGUCAACAAGUGGAUGCUUCCCUUGUAGCUAGUGGAAGACAUAUGUUAAUCCAACGUCCACCACUUCGAAUCGCCGUAACACUAAAAAGAAGCAAAUAACCUCUAAAAGAACAAUUCAAGUCUAAGAAGCUAUUUCAAUCGAUGUAAAUGUGUAUGUAAAACAUGUUGCCCUAUAAAAUUGUGAACUAUUAUGAUUGACAAUGCAUGGAAUGUUAUUCCUAGUAGUACUAGGAUAAAACAGUAUGACUUGUAAUAUUAACAUAAGCAAUGUUAAUAUGCAUUUGGGGCAUAGCAGAAACCAAUUAAAAAGAUUGGCUGCUACCUUAUCUAUUAAUUUCGUAAGUGAAGGGUGAACCCGUUGGUUCUAAAGCAAGCAGUCAUCUUGUAAGUAAUGCCGAUCAACCUGGCGCAGAGGUGCUAUGGACGUGGAAGCUACUUACAUAACCAACAUCUAACCUCUAUGUCAAAGCCAACUUUUCUGCUAUUUCCAUUAGUUGAAGACAUAAUUUGUUGACACACUUAAAAUAGUGGCUGGUUAGCCUAAUCCUAAAACUUCAUAGCUAUGAGACACUAUUGAACAAAUGGAACAAUUAAAUAAAUGGCACACAAUUCUUUGCACUUCGACACAAAUGACACAUUUUGUAUCAUUGGCAUGUGGCCCCUAAACCCACAAGGACAUGCCAUUUUGUCAAACCUAAACAAAUAUGAUCACUUGUCAAAUUUCCCAAAACCACACCUCUCUCCAGGAAACUCUGAGGUGUGCUCAGACGCAUUUGCCACCUUUUAGAAGAAAAAAAAGAACUUCCACUUACCCCCCAAAAUUAACAAGAAUCUCACAAGCAAAUGUUAUUUCCAUCUUCCAACUUUCUUGAAAAAUGCCAAUUUAUUUGCCACAUGGAAAAAAUAACAAGGCGAAGCCCUUUUAGAAAACCUUAAAAAAAUGCUAUUAUACCUCCCCACUUUUGUUAUUUUCACCCAUACUAGAAAUCAAUGAAAUAUUCCAACAAAGCUUGCUCUCAUGUGACUCACUCUCUAAUAUCUACAGACUUUUUUUUUCUUUUCAAUCUUUGUAACUCAGUUUUAAAAUUUUAUAUAUGGAAUAAAGUGAGCAUGUGCUCCUCAAGGUGCAAAAUCCACUGACAUCUCUCGAGUCUUUGUUAUCUCCCUUCUCUUCCUUACUUCUGUCCCUUCACCUUCUUCGUUUUUAGACCGUUUGCUCAGUAAGACCAAAGAGCAGAGAUCCGGAAUGGAAAUUUUCAUCUUCUUCUAUACAUAAUAAUAAAUGGACGAAAAUCCAUCUGUGUUGUGCAAUCACUCAAAUGGCCUAACUUAUUUGGAAAUAGAUAAAAUGUUUUCUCACAAAGAGAGAGGGGGGGGGUAGUAUUUUGACCUAAUUUAAUGAUCUUACCACAUGCAAAAUGGCGUCGAAGCCCGCCCUUCUCCCGCCUUGGUUUCACACUCACCCCUCACAGUGCUAUGCACCCUCGCGCUCUGCCAUCGCCAUCCACCACAAAUCUAUUUUAUUUUAACCACCAAGAGGGAAGCAUCUAUUAGUUAUAUUACUUUAUGAGAAAAUGUGUUCAUCAUAGGAAAUGGAAAGAGUGAAAAAAAUAAACUUCAUAUAUAGAUGGACAUGUUCACUUUAUGCAUAGGUUGCCCUACCAAUACAUUGGCCAAGCCUUUUGGUUGCUCACAUCUGCAAGAAAAAAGAUCAGCAAGAGUUGGCAAAAUAGCAUUAGCAUGUCAAUUUUUUUUUUGCAUGAUGCUAUCAGCAGGGUCGCAGCUAAAACAAUGGUACGAUUACUUUGGUCAAAAUCCAAACAUACCCAGAGCGACGACAGAACCAGAUCGGAAAAUUAAAUUCCCAUGUUGAAAAUUUGCCAUCUUGACCAGAAUCUUGCGAAAACUGGAUCCAUAGCUCCACGAUAUUUCCGUGCUGAUUGGAUGAAGCAUUAGAGAAUUAUAAGAGCCUUAUAACAAUAGCAAAGCAUAUCUGGUACCAAAAAGCCACGAGAGAAAUAAAAAUGAUUACUAAAAAGCAGAACAUUGCAGCAUUGCAAAAAGAAAGCAAACCACGUCCAAGGCAACCAGCUCGUUUCUCCUCAGCCCAUCCAUCCAGGAAAAAAGAGGCAUAAAUUUACAAACAACAAUUCGGUUCAACAAUGGGUUCGGGAGCAACCCUCUGCACCAUCCACAUUUACAAGUUUCACCAGAACAUUUUCUGUCUGCCUGGUAUCAUAACAUUUGCAAGUGAAUGUGACCUAUGUUUCUUGAGGUUUGCGCACAAAAUGUUCAUAAUACCCGACCCUUAUUUGAUUUGAACUAAAUACUGGAUAGGGAUACAGAGUCCCCCGGGAAGAAGAGUCUUCAGCUACUGUUGGCAACGUCUUCAAUCAACGUCUUCCAGCCUCUGCCCAACGAUGUAUCGGUCCUCCCAGAUAGAAUCAUGGAGUGUAUUGUAGGAUUCUUUGGCAAGAUAGCAGAGUACGCAUAAGGCAAAGCUGUACAGCCACGCGGCACGGUGGACUGUUGAGUUCACGGCGGUGUAGCCCAGCCUUGGGAAAACCUCCUUUGAGAGCACAUAAGGGAUUGCCAGUGCAAUGAGCAGCUCCAUGGAGAAAGACACUAAUUCUUGCUUGUACAUUGUUUCUGCAAGGUCUCCCAACGGAAGUUUUCUGCUCCAACAUCUAUCGAUGAAACAGCC
rnacentral:lncRNA from 1 species